rnacentral:lncRNA from 1 species
AGAAAUUUGGAUGAAAAAAAUACGAAAGAGGUAAAGUAAAGAAAAAAUCUCGGAUUUAUUCAAUCAAUAGAGGUACAAUAAGCAAGAUUAACCCCUUGUUUGUUGGUGGAUUCCCGCAACAAACAAAACAAGAAAAAAAGUCAAUUAAGUAUGAAUACAGCAAGAAAAAGGCAAAUUGUGUGUAAAUUAUUACACAAAGAUAGAUACUAGUUACCCCCCCCCCUUUUUUUUUUUAUCAAUUUUUUGUUUUUUACUUUAAUUAACUCGAAUCGAAGUUCUUUCUUGAAAUAAUUCUGCCUUCCUUAAAAUAUCACAAACAGUUCCCGUAGGUUGAGCACCUUUUCAAGGAAAUAUAGAAUAAAAGGAACAUUUAAAUAAGUUUGAUUCUUUAUCGGAUCGUAAAAACCUACUUUUCUAAGAUCUCUUCCUUCUCCUCGGGAUCAAACAUCAAUUGCAACGAUUCGGUAGAUGGCUCAUUGGAAUCGGAUCAAAUUUUUUCAAAUAUUCAAUUUAUCUUAUCGAUCCUGAGCUAUGACCGCAUUAUCCUGUGGCAGGAUCAUAACACCGACUAUUUUUAUUGUAGUGAGUUGUGCAUUAUCUUGCAGCAAAGUCCUUUAGGACCGCUGGUCUGCUGACGGUAUGUCACUAAUCAUCUUGAACACAACCUUCAGAACAAUUCAUGCGCCAAUGUAUUAGCCUCUAUUGGCGGGAUCCUUAACAUAAACAUGUCAAAAUUCAAAUAGUUUUAUGUUUCAUAUUUCAGUUCUAAAAUCAUGAGGUGUCAAAAUCAAUCAAUCAUAUCCAUAAUAAGAUCAUAUAUCGUCAUAAUAUUUCAUAAUAGUAUAUUACAUAAUAAUAUGCGAUCCAUCAAAUUCGUGCAUCAUGAAUAACACCACUUAGAGUCAUGAAUAUAACAAUUUAAUGAUUGCUAAUAGAUUUACAAAAAAAAUAAAACAAUACCAUGCGAAUGCAAGCUAACAGAUCCAAUUAAUUCCAAAAAAUUUUCUCAAAUUUUGGUAUUUAAAAAUUAUAUUUUCAAUCAGAAGUUAUCAUGAUUAUUCCAAGAAUGGGACCUUAAUUCCAAUACCAUCACCGGAUUGACCAAUUGGGAGUGCCCGACAUCUCGGUCGGUCCGAUCAAAGUGAAAUUCAUCGAAUCAUGCUCGGACUAGGGCACAGAUGGUUCAACAAAGAUCAGGGCGAUCAAAUCUAUUAGUGUUUGGCAGAGGCCAGGGUGGGGGCUGAUAUGCUAUCCGACGAUCCUGGAUUAGGACUCUUCACCAGGGUCAAUUCAAAAUCACUAUGAAGAUUCUUCACUGGAUCCAACUAUUCUAGAGUAGAGAGAAAGUCUAGGUAGAGAAAAACAAGAGAGCAUGGGAAGAGAGAGAAGAGAACUAUCUUCUCUCUCUCUAACCAAGGAGAGGAAGGAAGAUGGUGGCUGCAGGUGGUGCCCGGGGUCAGGGACCCACGGUUGGCCAGCAAGCGGCCAGUGGCGACUGGCGGUCGACAGCACUAAAUCCACUCAAAAUAGGGGUUUCGACCCUCUUUAACCAUACAAAUCAAGCAUCCUAAUGGCCGGAGCUUCGGCCAUGGUCUCCUGCCACUGUGGGGGAUUGGAGGAAGACUUAGGAGGCAAGAAUUGAUGGUGGAACCAGCCGGAAUCAGAAGAAAAAAACUUGCUUUCCGAAAGCAAGAAAAACAUGGGCUUUGCCUCGUCUCGGCCAAAUUUCGGCGAUCAUCAGUCGGAAUCGGGCUUCCAAGGGUCACGGAGGAUGAAAAGAAGAGUUAUCCAAAGAUUUUUGGAUUAUUUCCUCGCUUCUUGGCGGCGAAUGGCAGCGGCGGCGGCACGAUGGCGAUCGGUGAUCGAGGGAAAAAAUCAAAGAAAUCUGGUGACUACUCUCUGAUUGGAGCUAGGGGAAAGCUUAUAUAGAGCGGAGACUAGGGUUUCCUAGUCUCCGGCAGAGUUCAAGGAGGAGGAGAACUCGUCCUCCUUCGUUGUGCUCAACUAGGGCUCUGCCCUAGUUCUGGUUCGGACGGGCCUUCGGUUUGCAUUCGGAUGCUGGGUCGGGCCAACAUGCCGACCUAAUGAGGCUGGGUCUCACAUUCGCCCCUCGUUUAAAAAUUUCAUCCUCGAAAUUUUCUUUUCUUGUGCUUUCAAAAUGUUAGAGAUACAUAAUUCUAAUCUCGUCCUUAAGUUUUCAAUAAUUCUACUUACCAAUACAAUUUCAUCAUUAGAUCUUAUCAGAAGAAUAAGGUUCAAUACCUCUAAACUUGAUUCUUUUUGUAGAUGAUGUAAAUCAAACUUCUCUCUUAUAAACGAAAAACGUCUUAAUUCUGAAUAAGAACAUCAUAUUUCUUUGUCAAAAUAUCAACUACUCUUGAUUAAUCGAUCUAUCUGAAUAUUAGAUCCUAAAAAACUCCUAGCCAACCCUAGAAGAAUAUUCAUCAAGGUCGAUAGAUAACCUCAAUUUCUUUCAAUCAAAUAGAGGGUUGAUAUUAAUUGGGGAAGUACAAUCUUCAGAUUUAGGAGGAAAGAUGUCUACACCAAAAUAUUCCAGAUCCAAGAUCAAAAAUCGAUGAUCCAUUAAUUCUAGUCUCAAGAUGCUAAGAAUAUUUUUAGCACGAUAUAAAAUUGGAGAACCUAAGAUAGUGCAGCGACUUCCAAAAAUCAGAAUAUUUUUCUUUCGUUUAUCAAGGAAAACUUACUACACAAGGAAACAGAUCAAGUGUUUUGUUAUUAAAACCUGCCGAAUCUAAGAGAGAAUAUCAUGGAAGUGUGUAAUGGAGUAGCGGGAAAGUAGUUGAAGAGAGAACAUCAUGGAAGUGGUUUAUGGCUGAAAACCUUAUACAUUUGCUAACUCUGCCCAUCAAUCAAAUGUCAGUAUGUGGAUAUAGUUCUUCUUGAGGGCAAUUUGAGAAUUAAAUUUUUAAUAUCAUUGUUAUCUGAAUGAUAAAAUCGAGAUUCUCCUACAUUUUAUUGAAGUGAAAUAUCUAAAUGAGUAAUGUCUAGUGGAUAGUAAUAGCCAAAGUUGGCUAAAUCAAAACUGUGACCCUACCAGUCAGUUUUCAUGUUGAUAUGGUAUGGUACCAUACAGUACCAGCACAUGGUACUUAUGCUAAUAUCAGUCAAGUGCCAGGUUCACCUAAUCUAGGAUUUUCCCCAUAGAUCUAGAGAGGGGGAGGAAGGGAGAAGCAUUCUAACUGUGGCUGUUGGAGGUAAUGGUGUUGGUUGAUGUGGUGGAUCCUGUGGCCAUCGAGGGUGUCAGAUUUGAGCAGAUUUGAGCCAUAGGAUGGUGUUGAGGGUCUAGGGGAAGAUCGUCAGCAAAGUGGGAGCCGAAGCCAGUGGAGUAGUGGAGGGCUUGGAGGUGAAUUGGCUGUUAGCGAGAUAUCUGGCAUGGCAGAAAGGGAGAAUGGGUCUAGGAUCAAACCAGUGGGGAUGGGACAAAGUCUUUUAAAAGCCGUGAUCAGUUUGACCCAGGUGAAUCAAGUCAGUAUCAUUCAAAACUGGAUGGAUCCAUGCAGUUUUGCUAGCUUCGGACUAGUUUUGAUAAGAUCUUAUCCCAUUCCAAACUGAAUCUAUGAACCAUCCUGGUUUGUUUCAGUAUGCCCUGGGCCGGGAUAGGCAGUUCACUGAACAUUGGUAACAGCAUCUUAAGGGCUUAAUCAUCAUCCUUAAAGUUAGCUAGACUGUAUCCAUAAUGAACAAGUAUUUUGUUCAUCUAUGUGUGGUUAGUGUAGUGAGCUCUUCGCCUUUGUACUUAAACUCCUUUGGAAGUGAGCAUUCUAGGGUUCCUAUUAUUGGCUUCGGUUAGUCUUCAUCUUCUUGCCAUUUAAUAAUCUGUUCUCCUUAUCAAGUAAGGCUCAGCCUGUCCUUCAUUUUAGCUAAAUAAGUGUAACCGAUAGUCCAUCACUACAUUCUUUAUCGGUUCAUGGUAUAAUUUGCUACAAACUAAGGGUAGCAAUUUCAACCCAUACCUGCUAACCUACCUAAUCCCACUCGAAGUAAAAGGUUUUCAGUGAGGUCCUUUAUUAUUAUUUAAUUGAAUUUGAGUUAGUUGAGAGUAACCCUAUCAUAAAUUGGUCGAACAUGAGCUUGACCAUCCAACUUGUUGGGUCACCAUGGUUUGAACAAUCCCUUGAAAUCCAUGUUUGGACUUCUAAGAUAGUGGUAAAUGUGCAGUAGUCCAUGGCCUAUUCAAAGCUUCAAAGCCUUUCACAUUAUAUAGUAAAUAUUCUUUUGUAUGUAUGACAACUAUAGUGAAGUGCUGAGCAAGGAUCGAUGUGCCGGUAUUGGAACUUGUGCCAGUAGCUCGGCGGCGUAGCUCGGUGCAGUACCAUGCCAUUCUGUGUCGAGCCCGUACUAACACAGUAGAGCCAGGGGAGGGCAGGGGAGGGAGAAUGGGAGAGGAGGAAAGAGAGAGAGGGGGGUGGGAGGAGAGGGCGAGGGAUAAAGGGAGGGAGAGAGAGGAAGAAAGCUGGCGGAGGGCCAGAGAGCUGCGCGAAGGGGCGGAGGAGGGGCUCCACCUCCGGUUCUCCUAUUGCUUUCGAAUUAGGGGUCCCAGAGGGGGCCCCUUUUUAUUUUCGAAGAUUUGAAGUGAAGUCGGCAAGGGACACCCUCCGGGAACCCUAUUUCGAAAGCAAUAGGGGAACCAGAGGCGAAGCCUCUCCUCCGCCCCUUCGCGCAGAUCUCCAGUCCUCCGCAGCGCUCCGUCGGCCAUUUGCCACCCUCCCCUCUCUUCCUUUUUUCGCCUCUGGAUCUCUUAUUGCUUUUGAAAUAGGGGUUCCGGAGAGGGCCCAUUUUUAUUUUCGAAGAUUUGAAGCGAAGUCGGCAAACCUUUGCCGACUUGGCUUCAAAUCUUCGAAAAUAAAAAUGAACCCUCUCUAGGACCCCUAUUUCGAAAGCAAUAGGGCAACUGGAGGUGAAGCCCCUUCUCCGCCCCUUCUUACGGCCCUCCGCAACCCUCCGUCGGCCAUCUGCCACCGUCUCUCUGGCCCUCCAUAGCCCUCCGUUGGCCCAUUUCGAAAGCAAUAGGGCAAUUGGUUCCCCCAUUGAUUUCGAAAUAGGGGUCAUGGAGGGGGCCCCUUUGUAAUUUCAAAAGCCAUAGGGGAACUGAAGGCGGAGCCCCUCCUUCGCCCUUUCACGCGGCUCUCUGGCCCUCCAUAGCCCUCUGUCGGCCAUCUGCCAAUCUCCCUCUCUCUUGCUUCCUCUCCCUCUCUCUCCCUCCCCUCCUCUCUCUCUCUUGUCCUCUCUUUCCUUCCCCUUCUCUCACCCCAUCGCUGGUUUUUUGUUUUGGUUGCUAGAACCAUCCUGAUCCGUCACUGUUACGGCUCGAUACACCCUGACCUAGGCGGUUCAGGAUAGUUCCGUCGUCCUUGGUACUGAGACUAGUAAUCAAGUACCCCAAAGUUUAACAAUAAUCUAACCGAAUUAUCAACAGUUUGUAGUAAUCAGAUUAAUAGAAUCUAUGGAUAUUUCAAUGAAUUGAGCCAUCGUGCCAUUUUGAUUAUCAUGUUUUAGUACUAUUACAGUAAUGUUGAGGUGGUAACAUCUAUUUUAAGUAGAGUAGCUAAGAUCUUACUUGAAAAUCUAUGACUAUGUUAAUUAGACUAUUUAAUAUGGCUUCAAUUACAAGAACCAAACACUUUAACAUGGAUUGACUAUAGGGCUAUUGUAAUACGUAUAAAAUUUGAAUGAACAGGACCCUAUCAGGUGAUACUUGAGAGCCAUAUUGAUGUUGAUGUGUAUAUGAAAUAAAUGAGAGAAAAGGGAAAAGUGAAACACAAUACACUGUUCUUAACAGCUAGAAGAACGAAUUUGAGAAUUAAAAAUAGGUUGAUCAGUUUGAUGCUAGGUAAACUUGGACAAGUCUAAAAGUAACUAUUUCAAUAAAACAUAUGAAUUUGAAAAAUAAGAGCAUUCAACGCAAAAGUGACAGAGAAAUUCAAAUGAUGUGCUGGAAAUAUGUGUACUUGUAAUUAUGUUUCGCAGGUUUCCAUUUUUUGAAAAGCUGCAUCCAAUAUCCAACGAAUUUCUAGUUCACAGGGACAUUAUGAGACUAGUUCUCAGGGACCUUAGAAAGCACUAUGAUGCAUGUUUAUGCAUAGCUAUGCUUUUAGAAUUUGAUUAUUUAUGAGAAUUCCAUUCUGUAGUUUUUUCAUGUCAUCUAAGAUAUGUGGUCUCUUUUUGCUAAAUAUGUUUUGUCUAGAUUUCCAUCACUUAAACAGGACAAAGAUGGUUGAAGAAACUAGCUGGUUUUCUUAACAGUUCGGUUUCUUCAUUGUGAAUCAACACUUAUUCUGAAAAUCAUAGUUCCUUUGUUAUUAUGGAUACACAUGGCUCUGAUGGCAUUCAUUGAAAUAUUUCUGAUUUGCAUAUGCUCGUGUUGAUUAAACGAGUAUUUGCAGAAAAAUUUAUAUAUGGCAGUUUCAUCAUUUUUUCCUUCUGGUUAAUUGAAUAUUUAUUCUUUCCAUUCAUGUCUUUGUUCCUUUUUCUUCCCUAUCUUUAGUUUUUGGUUUUCAAUAUGAGAAAAUUACCCAUGCUAGUUUCACUUAGAGACCAUGGGCAAUACAGAUAAAACACAGUAUAUAUGAGAAGUUCAAAGAGAAAGUAUCAACUUGUGUAGAAUCGAGUUCUAAGAUAUGAUUUGUUACAUGAUGGCGAGUCUAUGAGAAUGAAAAUAGUAUUUGAAUUUAUUUAUAAUUGCUUUACAUAUCUCUAUGUUUUAUCAUAUGUGUUUAUUUCCAGACCUUUUUCUUCAUGUAACUUGAGUCUUUCAUCUGUGUUACUUAUACAGGAAUGAUUUAUUUACACAAAUGUCAUGAACCGAGGUUUGAAGAUGCUGGUGACUGUUUUGCAUUGGCUGGUUCUUGGUCUGAAGCAGCCAAAGUCUAUGCUCAAGGACAACAUCUGUCAAAAUGCUUGUCAGCUUGUCGUCAAGCACUGCAGUUUGACUUGGGAUUUCAAUUUCUUCGUGAAUGGCCGGUUAUGGUGCCCGGAGAUGAUUGGAUUGAUUAUAUGAAGGGCACUAUCUCAGAUUAUCAUAAGUUACAGGACAUUGAUUCCCUGGAGAAGUUUGUCAGGGCUUUUCCAACAGAUGCAUUGGGUUUACUAUUGAAGUCUGAUUAUUAUGAGGAAGCUUCAGUUGUUGCAAAUUUGAAAGGAGACAUUAUGCUUGAAGCUGAUAUGCUGCGUAUAGCUAAACAUUAUGAAAAAUCUGCCGAUUUGGUGCUCUUUUAUGCUACAGGGAAGAUGCUUUGGACGGAAGGAAAUAAAGGUUGGCCUUUAAAGUGCUUCAAUGAACUACAGCAGGUUUUAGAAAAAGCCAGAUCUCUAUACAUGUCAGUGUCAAAUGAUUUCAAGGCCUAUAUUUCGGCUGAAGCUGAUUUUCUGUCAGACCAAAGUGCUAGCCUUACCUCCUUUGCUAGGCAUAUUAACAAUGCUAAGACUUCCCGGAAUAUAUGCGUAGAAACUUUUGCUGCUCGGAAAUAUCUAGACAUUUGUCUUCAGACGAGUGCCUCUGAGUAUUAUCAGGAAUCUGAUGUUGCCCUUUGGAGAUACAGAGGUUGCAGUGUGCAAGACAUGUUUAGUUAUGUUUCCAUUCAAAGUCUCAUGUUCUCUUGGAAUUCAUGGGUUAAAAGGGUAAAAGGUGUUCUGUCUUACUUCCACUCCAUUGGAACUCCAGAAGUGAGCAAAUAUACUAAAUAUGAAAAAUUCUGUCUGAAGUUCUUUGGUGUCCUCAAAUCAGAUAUUGAAGGAAUUUAUAUUUCUUCUAAUGCCCGAGCAUCAUGGAUUCGGUGGACAGAUGAAAAGCAUCUCCGUGUUUUAGACAAUGUUGCAUAUAUGAGUGACUUGGUGUUCAAUUGCCUCGCUGAGAAAUAUUGGGCAUCUGAAGUAAUUUCUGUUGGAGCAUCAUUGCUGAAAAAAUUGCAAGAGCUUCAUAGCCACCUUUUUCGACAUUCUAGUAUGGUCCAGCGAGGCCUUAUUGCACACUACUACUACAUGGUACUGAAUUGUCUCAAGGAACAUGGCUUUCCAGGAUUAGAAUGUGAAUCUAAAAGGUUCUACGAAAGUUUGACCAAUUUUGAUGCAUUUCUAUGCCGCACUUUUUUCCCUCUAGACUUCUCAAGGAUUUUGGAGCAGAUUGAAUCGUCUACACAAGGUACAAACACCUCGUUAAUUACUGCAGUUCUUCACAGAAACUUGGGUGUGUUGGAUCAGUUUGGAGCAGCAAAAAUUGGAAGAGUGGUGGUUUUUCUUCUGUCACGGAAACUUAGUUACACAUUGCACCGGACUAUUCGUGGCAUGAUCGGCCGAGAGUUUCCGUGGCAACAUUUUCUUCGAGAGCUAAGUUAUUCUAGAACUGAAGGGUGCCAGCGCACCACUCCUUUAGCAAAAACCUUCCUCCCUUCAUCCAUUUUGGAUCUUCAAAGUCAGCUGCUGCUUCUUGAGAGCAUUCUCUUUUAUGCAUCAUCAUGUCAAAUGGGAAGAGGAUGGUUUAUCACAUCAAGAUCUAGCUUGUCUGCAUUUCUUAAUGCCACAGAAUCUAGAGAUUACUUCCAUGCACUUUCAGUAUCUAGCAUUCAUUCUCUGGAGGAUGUGUACAGAAAUACCACUCCUUUCUAUGACUUCAUAUUGGACACCUCCGGUGAGCUUUUCUCUCUGAGUAAUCUUCGUUGGGCUGCAAUGAAAAGGUUGAGUACUCAAGCAUUGGUGCUGAAGAUGGUUAUAUUGGUGGGCCUUAUCUGUCUGAACUCAGCCAAGCACUUCUUGAAAGUAAGAAAGCUGUUGAAGAGGGUUGCUGGCAUUCUAUCAAUUUUGCCACACCAAUUUCUGAUUAAGUUUUGGAAUUCAAGGAAAGGCCGGGUAACGUCUUUGAAGCUCUUCGGUUCAGUGCUUUCGAGAUCAAUGCAAUCCAUGGGCGACCAAGUAGUGGUGGUUCGCAUGGAUGGCUACAGUGAAUCUUUUGAUCAUUUGAGGCCUUUACACCUGAAACAUAGCGACCUUAAGCGAGGUAAGGCGUAUGCUCAGGCAUUGCUAUUAGGAAUAAACGAGGUUUAACAACUACCAACAUUUUGUAAUUGUUCACAAACUCAUGUUUCAAGGUGAUCUGAAAUUGUUUAAAUUUUACUUCAGCUUUGCAGUUUAUUAUUGUCAUUAAAUAUUUAAACAAGUGCUUGAACUUAUCUCUGAAAUGUUUUUUUUAAGAGACGAAUGUAUGCCGAAAAAAUUAUCUUAUCCAAAAAAAUUUAAAAAUGUGAAAAGAAACAGGGUUUAACAGCUAUUUAAAUUCUAUAAAUGAUUUUAGACGCAUUCUUCAUGGUGAAGUGGAAACUGUUUAAAAUGUCACUUCAGUUUGCAGUUUGUUAUCAUUGCAAAAUUAAAACAGGUUCUUUUGCAUCUGUAGAAUGUUUCUUUUUUUCAAAAACCACGAAUUUUUGCUGACAUAAAUGAUUUAAAAAAAAAUGGGAAAACGUGGACGGCAGGAUUCGAACCUGCGCGGGCAGAGCCCACAUGAUUUCUAGUCAUGCCCGAUAACCACUCCGGCACGUCCACUUAGUUUAACUUAGCUUGUUCAAAUAUUUUCAUCUGGCAUAUUCUUUAUUCAUUGGAGCAAUUCAUACAACUCUAUCAUAAAAUUUCAAAACCAAGUCUCUAUGUGUGCCCCAAUUUGUUUAUGUUUAGUUUUUUUAUGUGCAGCUGAUCGCUAGGUUGGAUCUUUUUGCAUCUUCAUGUCGGCCAUUAGACCAAUGGUUGUGUAAACUAUGUAACAUAACAAUGAAAACGAUGAUGAUAAGGGAGGAAGAAGUCCCUGCCUUAUUGGAGACAUGGAAUAACAUAUAGAAAAUGGCUUGGAUAAGCAAACUCUCGAGCCCUUGUUUAAGCAUUUUUGCUUAGGUCUUGCCUGAAUAAGUAAAUAAGUGAUAACCAUUUUGAAAAUAUAGAGGAAUAAAGCCACUUGAAUAAUCAGAAGAAAGUUAUUUUUCUUGUUGUUUUAAACAUUCCAUAGAGUAAAGCAUUUUGUAGGGUUAUAUUCCACUAACUUAUGGAGAAAUUGAAAUGUGAAGACAACAAUACUGAGCAGAGCCUCUCGGAAAAAAUAAAGCAAUUAUAAAUAGGCCCUAAAGCUUUUGAAAACUCGAGCUUUCUAUCUGUUUGGCUAUGAGAGAUGAAAUGAUAUAGAAAAUUUUCAAAUUAGCUAGAAUUUCUUUUCAUUUGGAACAUGUAUUCCUUUUUCUUUUCCUUUUCCAAAUUAAUGGCAAGACUUCAACCACCAGGUUAUAACAUGGAUUCUUGGUUUCUAUGAGUAAUUUAUUAUUCAAAUAUCAUUGAACAUCAUUUGCAUUAUAUUUUGGUAUUUCAUAUUUUAAUCAUUAUCUUUUAUAAAAAUUCUUUUCCCUUUGAUAAAAAAUGAAAAAUAAAUAUAUCUUAUUUUGUUCUUAUGAUAUUUUUGAAAUAUUAUUGUGAAAAUAUUUUAAAACAUUAAUAACUUCUACACACUCAUUUUGUAUAUAAUUUUCUUACAAGCUCUCUAUGAUUUGAUAAUUCAUGCUUAGUUUUAUUUAUGCUGUAAUUAGAGUAAUAAUGAUAUUUGAUACAAAAAAUAUUAAUAUUUUUUAUAUUAUAUUUUAUUUUAAAUAAUCUAUGAUUUUUUAUGUUAAUAUAAACUUGGUUGGACUAGUGACGUAGACCUUUAACGAGGUCGAUCUUCAUAGAAAGAGAAGGAAAAGUGUGAUCAAUGAAAAAAUAGAGAAAUAUUGCUGAAAAUUGAUGUAAUUUUUUUUCUUUCAAAAGUGUCCUUAAGCAUAUAGAUAGAAUAGGAUAAGGUUUUUCUUUUUUAAAGGCAUAAUAGGUAUUUUACAUAAUUUUUUAGGAUAGUAAAUGUUCAACCAAACAUAAGCUAUUCUAAAAUAUGCUGCUUUUUUAUAGUCAACCAAACAUAUAAAAAUUAUUUUUUUCAGAUAUUAUAUAUUCGAAUAUCAGUUUUUUAGAAAAAAUAUUUUAGCAAGAAAAAUUCUUCUAGCAAAUCAAACAAACUCUAAAAUCAAAAAACAGAGUAGAAGUGUUCAUAGUGGAAUAUGUCUAAAGGUUUCCAUCUCCCCUGAGCAAGGGAGGCUGUUUUCUGGUUGUUCCUAUAAUGGGUCAGUAGUCGAAAUGGCACAGGAUCCUGAGAUCUAAGUUAUGAAUUGGCCAUCUAAAUAACUCAUCUGCUUGCAUUCCAGCCAAAAGACCACAGUUGUCGCUGAUUUAAAAGAAUAUUACCACAUAUAUAGGGCAUGUGCAAACAAGUUUCAAACUCCUCAUUUAUUCCAAUAAAUGUAAUUAAGCUUAUCAGAAGACAAGACUUAACAAUAGACACUACAAAAUUUACCUUUUGAAUCAUUGCUAACUGCAAGUUUUUCAAGCAAGUUAUGGAUAUCAAACAUAUUAAGCUUGGUUAUAAUUAAAACAUUCUGUUCUAUUAUAGCAAGCACUGAGUUGUAUUGCAGCUUAUUGGUAGUUAUCACAGCAUUACACUUCACCUCUAUGUAACCUGUCCUUCCAUGACAAUGCAAAGACACUUCUGACUACAGAAGAAGUUAGUAAAAUUUUCAAGGCAUUUCAAAGCCAUUAUUUCUAAUAUUGUUUGUGAUGUGCGACUAAUUAGAAUGAAAUACGACAAAUAUGAGGAUAUAAAGAAUGGGGUAGAAUGGAUCAAGGUCAUUGGACACUGAUGUCGUCCUUGGCACAACGAAACUUCACCCAUCAGCCUGGAAACCCCUUUCCUUCUGGGUGGUGGUGGUGGUGUCCGGCUGCAAAAGUUUGAGGGGAUGGAAAUGGAAAUCUAAUAGUCCCACCUAUAGACAAGAGACUUAUGCCAAACCCUUAACUUCCCAAUUGACCAACCACCAUGCCUCCCCCCAUACCUCCUGUUAACUUUAGCCAUGCAGCUCCCAGGGACAAGAGGUCAGACCCAACCAUUCCGUUGCUUCAUUCCCAUGCACCCCUUGGAAACCUUUUAAAGUAGGGGUUUGUUUCCGGGGUGGCGGCACAGGGCACAUCAUGGUUAGCUGCCGGAAUCCUAUAAAGUGCUUCCUCUCUCAUUGGUUUGGCCAUCGAGCCAAGUGGUGUAGAUACCCCAACACCUCCCCCCGAGGAAUCCAGUGAAAAAUCCAGUUACCUUGGAAACCUCGAAACCCUCCGUCACCUCCACCUGUGACAUGGCGAAUAUCUCCAGUUACCUUGACAGAGCGGCUUUUGUUGAGACCUUUGGGCGACCAGUGAAAGAGAAUGAUAUUUCUAACAUCGUCACCCAUAAAGUAAAGAAAUCUUGUUCUUGGACAACACAGCAACUCUCUGAGAGAGAGUUCCUCGUAUCAUGUCUGGACAACCAAAUAAGAUGCUGUCGGAAGCAUACAUGUAAUGGAUUUUGAAUUCAAAUAAGGACCGUACUAGAGACGUUGCUGGUAUCCCAAAAAAGUAAUGCUUUUUACGCAUCUUUUUAGCCAUGGCUUUCUUGCCGCAUGAACAUGGUCGGAAUGAUGGCAUCAUAGCCAUGUCAGGGGAAGGGAAAAAGCCAGUCAAAACUUUUUCCAAGCAACUGGAUACAACGUCUCCUAGGCAAGGUCCUGCAGCCACUGGAAAGCUGAGCACUCGCCUUCGAAAUAAAAAGAUAAAAAUGCUUAGUCUUGAGGAGGACGAACUUGUUCCAGAAGAUAUUUUAUACCUCAACACCCUUACGACCAAGGAGGUGAGAUUGCUCGGCAAAAAGUGCUACUUCUCUUCCAGGAAAAGUAGAAGCCUUGCCAGACAUCAAACUUCUCGUUGUGGACCCCUUCCAGUUGAUAUGCUAUUAAUUUGAUUUAUCAUCCACUUAGUAACAUAUUUGAUUCUAUAGUCAUAAAAUUUAAUUAUCCAAUUUAUAUCAGUAUUUGUAUUCAUACUUUGGGUGUCCAAUUAUAUCUGUAUCUAUUUAAAAUAAAUAUGGCUAUAAAUUUUUAUAUCUGACUAGCAUCGGUAUCCGUAUCUUUAUGCAUCAAACAAAAUAUAUAUAAAUAUAAAUAUGCUAGUAUUCGAUCUAAUUUCAGCCAUAACUUUCAACAUUUGUACGAUAUAUCGUUCAUUGGAUGCAUCACGAUGCCUUGUCACCCAAUUCACACGUUUUGGGUCUGUAUACUAUCUUACCAGUUAUCGAGCAGUGCUUCAUUAGUAGUGUAUUUUGGUGCAACUUUUGUCCCUAGUGGAGAUCUUGUGUAAUGGAAUCUAGUUAUCGUGCUGCAUCUCAUAAGAACCCGUUCCUAGCUCUCUUCUUACUCUUACCAUAUGUCGCUGCAUUGUCUAGGGCACCAGAACAUAUUUUAUAUUUAGAGAUGCAUAGCCAAAAUGACUGAAAUAAACAAGUGCAAGGAAGCCUAUUCUAUCUUAAUCCCGAACCACAUGCGGACUAGGUUCUGAUAGGUCAUCAGUUACAGUGCACACCUCAUACCUAUUAUCCUUUUUGUCACAUACCGCACAGCAGCUCUACUACUGCCACUAUUUCCAUGAUUUUUGUAUGCUGUCUAACAGAUUGCACAUAAAUCAGUCUGUCCCCAAUCGAUCUACUUAAAUGUUUGGCUUGGCCAUUUCUUGUGCCUUUUCAGACCUUUGUUAGUAGACAAGGCUUCACCAACCCUACCUAUGAGAACCAGACCAACUUGGCUUGUUCUGGACCAAAGUCAGCAAACUCAGUCGGCUUCAACUCAAAAUUCAAAAGAAAAAAAAAAAAUCGGAGCAGAGCAUUGCGAUCCCCCACUUGAAUGACUGCCAUUAGGGAGGCACGGCCAGCGCAAACUCCUCGCGGCCAAUAUGAAUGGCUGUUGAGGGCCACUGCAAUUGGCAAAUGGCCAGCUAAGGCUUAAUCCAAGGUUAUCCUCUUCCAAAACAUCUAUUUAAACCCCUCCUUCCCUUCAAUUGAUCCAUCAUGGCACCUCUUCCCACUUCCUCUCUCCUUCCCCCUUCUUAGGUGGCCGACGUGCCACCCCGGCCAAGCACCGCCUCUCAAAACCAUCUCUUUUUCCACUGAAAACAUCAUUCGUCUGUUUUCACAGACUGACCAUUGUUGCUUUCUUCCACUGGAAGUCACCACGGCUGGCCAAAAUCCUUCACCUCCAGCCCUUGCCAGUGAGUUCUCUAUCCCCGUUGAUACUUUCUUGGGCCGAGAAGGCUUCCACCGAGGUAGCUAGGCACUACCCCUCUUCUCUCCCCUUCUCUAUUGUGACCGAGCAUGUCCAUUCCCACUGACUGUCGAUGGCUGCUCUUCGCUGCCGCCUCACCAAAUUACCAUGAUCGUAUGUCCUAGAAGCUAAUUUGGCUGACAUAUAAUUUAUUCUGGGAUAUAAUUUUGUACUUGACUUUAUUAUUAUUGAAUAAUAAAUGGGCAUCUUUUUCAUUCAUAUUGUGUAUGUGUCUAUGAAUUAUCCAAAGAAUUAAUAAGAUAAUGAUGCAUAUUCUUAAGAGUUGAGAAUUUGAGCCAUGUGUCGUUGGUGAUUAAUUCUUGAAUGCUCCUGAUCGAUGGAUCAUCAUAAGAAUGGUGAUUGAUCCGAUGAGAUUAGUGCACAGAUCGCUUUCCUUUUGGAUGGACGAGUCUCGAGGUUACUAGGGCCAAGGAUGCCCCCCUGUACCAGUGCUGGAGGAUCCAUAGGCGAGUGUGAGCCCUCCCGAUCACGGACCUGUUGUUCCACUCUCGGGCCUCGAUUGGGCAAGACCCGAUGCCCCUUGUCCUUUGGCCCGCUCGUACCGUCGUGGUCGAUGGCCCGACCCAAGCUUCUGGCUUGCUCGCAACACUUUGGCCUCAGCCCACAUUGCUUGCACUAAUCGGCAAACUCCUGGGCCACUUGUUAGAUGGUCCCUAGCCCAUGUCCACCAUGUGGACCUCUGGACCAGCCCGCGCCCCAGUCGGCCCACUAUCUGAUGCCUCACCCACCGAGUCGUCCAGGUCUGCGAGCGAGUUGAAACCCGAUCCGACUCAGCCUCCCCUGCCGCCGACUUAAAACUAGAACCCAAGUCCCCUUCUCCGGCUGGCCUGUCCUUGGGUGGGGAGCGGCACUUGGCUACCUUCACCGGCUUCUGCCACCCGUCCGAGUCCGACGGUUUUUCGGGGAACUCGAAUGGUUGGCCGGAGAUUGUGGCCUCGAGGACGACGACUCGAGCAUGGACCCGGUCGUCUUCCUCGGCCGUGGCGGCACCCUCGCACCCGCGAUGGCUGGAUCCGAGUGGCCGCCAGCCAUGGACCAAAGAUUGGCCGCCGGGUCUCCUCUCCAAAACUAGAGUGCGGCUCUUCCCAUCGGUGUCCGCUCCGGCCCCUCCUCCAGCACCGACGCCAGGUGCCUGCAUGCCUCCUCAGCAUGCCCUAUUCAUCCACACUAGUAGCAAAUCUCAGGCACAUCCUCGUAGACGAAGGGUUGCCAGAGUACCCUCGUAUUCCCUCGGAUUUGGACGCUGGGCAGCAGCGAGGCAGUGGCGUCGAUGGCAACCCUUGCCCUAGCAAAGCCCAUCGCCCUUUGCUGUUUAGUAAAGCCGUCAACGGCAAGAGGCCGGCCCGCCGCCACCACGAUCUGGAGGAUCGUCUCGCUUGACCAGUACUCGACUGGGAGCCGAGGCAAUUAGAUCCAGACCACCGCCGUUUUGACGAUGUCCAGCCCCGGCAUGAAAUCGGGCUUCCACAGUUCCAUGGCCUACAGCUGGCUCGCCACCACCCAUGGCCACCAGUCAACACUGUAGCUCGAUCCGCCUUCGUCUUGAAUCGGAGGGCUAGGUGGUCGUCCGCGAAAGGCACCACCACCACCUCAGCCUCCAUCUUCGCCCGAGCACCUACAUCUUGAGCCACCCGCUCCGCCAGAAUCUGGCGACCCAAACUCCGGACCACCACUGCAAGAUCGGCCCAUUCCCUCCGCAACGCCUCGAUCGGCUCCUCCGGUAACUCGAGGACCACCGAGAAGAAACGUCGGAGUUUCUCUACCUCCGACUCCAAGGUGGGAUGCGUCACCCAUCCUCCGGGUUUCGCCCGGCCACUCGUUGCCAAUCCUCCUUCACCACCCACCCUACACAACUAUUCCUCCGAACUUAUCGUCGAUGCUAAGCCUAGAGAUGUUGGAUUUAUCGCAUAAUGAUCUUUCUGGGAGCAUACCAUUAUCUCUCACUGACUUAAGUUUGUUCUCUGGAGGCAAGGAAGGACCUAAAGAUCUUGGAGAAAUCAGUACACAAGACAUAAUGAAAUUUCCCAGCAUCCCAAUCAUGGCUCUGUUUUGGCUUAUAUGUAGUCAAAUUUUUACCUUUGUAGUUUUCCAAAAAAAAAAGAAGAAGAAAUAUUAUCGAGAGGUUAACAACAUUUAGCUAAUGCUUGCCUAGCUAUGUGCCUGGCUCCCUUACGUUUUUGUAAAAUGAUUACAGCAUGAUUAAAUGAUCAAAGUAUGUAGAGCAUGAACAAGGGUGUUUACUGCCCACAAGAUAUUAAAUCAAGUUCAUUAUUUGCCAUGCAGAGAAGGCAUCCCUUGAAGAAGCUGAUUCUCCAUAUCCCAAAAAUGUGAAUAGAUGAUAUAGAGCUUCAAUACACCUGGGGGCAAGACUUGCCACCCUCCCUGUUCACUACCUGCCCCUUGGAAAGAACAUUUCGCUGUGUUCCGAACAAACUUUUGAUCUCCUGAUUUCACUAUUACUUACCCCAAAACACUGCUGAACCCAUUUCUUAACCAUGUUAACGAUCUAAAAUCCCAUCUACUUCGUUCCACCAAAAAUUCUGAGAUUCUUUCUGACCUUAUCAUUAACAACAAUUAUGUUCAAUCUAAUUUUGAUACCACUGUCCAAAUGUUAUAAAUACGUUCAGGAGAGCGUUGAAUGUGCAAUUGGUGACCAAAGUGCCUCUAGAUCGACUGCACAUUUCAACAAUUCGGAAAGAGAUUUUUGACUGUUUCUUCAUGGUUGCUACAUAGUCCAGACUUUAAAAGCAAUCCAAUUCAUUUUCUUUAAAUUCUAAUCAGCGAGUACUAAGUAUUUGGUUACCUUCCAAUUAAAUGCUGUCACCUUCUUUGGACUGAGGCAAUUCUUGCUGCAGCAUGAGGAGCUACAAAUCCACAUUUAAUCAUUCCGAUCCCACCCUCCAAUUGGUUCUUGCGAGCUCAUCCGUGAAGCCUUUACGGAGAUAUUUCAUGCAGUUCCUAAAUAUUUCUGACUCACCUAAAGAUUUUCAUGAGCUAUGGACAGAUUGGAUGUAAGUUCUUGAAGAAAUCCUGUCAUCUAGCUAGGUUAGAUGACACUGAUGGCAAUCAUUUGUUAGCAAGCAUUGUUGGAGGAAGAAAAGAAUUUUCUUUAAUACUAAGAAAACAGCUGAACUUUUGGACACCUUUUUCCCUGGCCAAAGAUUGGAUCAGAAGCUCCUCUGUGAAAGAUCUUAGGAAGAUUUCUCCCCCAUUUAUAAUUGCAACUUGUUCUAGUCUCAGUGGUAGAAGUAUCUUCUCUCUUCCCUCCCAUUUUUCACCCCUAGGCCAGAGGCUCCUCUGGAAAGAUCCUAGAAAGAUUGCUCCUCUGUUUACAGCUGCAACUUAUUCUAAUCCUAGUGGUCUCAGUGGCACACGCCUCUCUCUCUUCCCUCCCAUUUCACCUUUCUUUUAUCUACAUGUACUACUUCCAUUUUCUGAAAUGAAAGUGAUUAGGUUAUGAUCUAGUCUUAAAAAGGAGUAGGGAGACAUGCACUACAGUUUGUUUCUCAAAAUAUUGCAUGCAUAGUAUUUUAUAGAUGAUUCAUUACUAUCAAGACUCAUAACUUGCUUAUCUAAUAAAUACCUAAAAAUCCAAAGUAAAUUAAUCACAUAAAUAAUGCAACAGAAACUUCCGCCAUAUUUUGUUAUCACUGUCAUUUCAGUGGGUUUAGGUUGUAUCUUUCGCACCAAAGAAUGAUUCACCUUGUUUCACAAUGUCAACCACCGCACAACGGCCGCUUUAAGAUCUGUGCCAUUGGAUCGCACAACGGCUGCUUUAAGAGCUGUGCAGGUGGGGGAGAGGCUAGCAUUUAGAGCGCUUUGAGAGCUGUGCAAUGCACAAUCCCAUGGUUGAUCUUGGGAAAACAAGAUCAAUCAUUCUUACGCAGGAAAGAUACAACCCGAUCCCCAUUUCAGUUGAGUGAAUUGUUUUGCAUGUCCCUGCACAGAUCUUAGCAUACCUCAACCCAUGUGGAUGACAGCAUCAUACUCAAAAAGUUUGAUGAAGCCCCAAACCUUCAUGUCUGACCCCAGUUAAGCCACUGACCUAAAAAUAGCUGCCGGUUCAAGAAAUAAAAGGCCGGAAAAAAAGAAGCGUUGACACGCAGGAAACCUAACUUUCAAAACCAUAGGCCUAAACGACUGGUAGUUCCAGGAAGGGCCUUCAUACAGCCAUGAAUGAAUGCUUCUCAACGAUUGUCAAGCUGCUCUUCCUUCAGUUCUCCCAACAAUUCAUCAUCUGUCUCAGGAUUUUGGCUUCCUUCUUCCCCCAGGUGCAAUUUUGAGGAUCCCAAAUAUCGGGAUCGCUUCCUUCCCUGUCGGUAUGUCUUCUCACUAUACUUUCUUUUGUUCUUCAUUUUGUUAUCUUUACCUCAUUAACAUGUGAUAUCUUCAAUCAGAUAAUUGUUUCUUCAUAGACUAAAAUUCCGUGAAACAACGGAAAGCUGCAUGCAGUUUACUGACUUCUGUGCAUUCAUUAAGCACGUCUAAUCUUGUUUGUAGAUGGUGUUAAAGAGUAGAAGCAACAAGUAAAAGAAUGGACGGACUAAUAUCAAAACUCAGUUCCCCAGAAAUCAACUCAAAGCAUUGAACAUGGAUGAUUUUCUGAAGCAAUAAUUGUCGAAAAAAGUUAGCAGUUCAACAUGAAAGGUUAAACCAGAAGAAACGUUGUGUAUUUCUAAUUACAGAAAGAAUAUUAUACAGAACAUACAUGCAAUGAUUCACAACUUUACAGUCUCCACUAGAACAAGCAUAACCCUCUAAACCAACCUUACAUCCAACGUCCGAGACUCAUUCUCUUUUCUACAUUCUUGCUUGUUACUUCUAUAUGGAAACAUAGGCUGUACAGAACCUAACAAGUUCCAUUUUUGAUAGACUGAAAGAGCACAAGCUACACAGCAUUGUAAUCCCUGAAUCAAUGGAUAGGAUGGUAUUGUGUGAUGCCACGCUUAGGUGGUAGCUUCCUCAAGAUGAAAAGGACCAGAGCUGAAGGAAGAAUUUCCACCAGCUGCAAACAUUGAACAAAUAACGUCAAAGCACUGAAAUGCUAACUAUGAGAUAAUAUAUAAUGGAGAAAGAAAUUGAAACGAUUGAGUUCCAUCAGAUUACAAAUCAAAAAUCUGCAUUAACUGGAGAUGAACUAAAAUUCUCCAAACUUGCUAGACCCUACUGGAUCAAACAACUUAGCUGGAUCUAACUUAGACUAGCACAACCUUAUUAUGCCAAGUCUGAGUCAGGCUGCAUCAAGAUCAACCAAACCCAAACUACGUACAUCCAAAACCGAUAACAUGCUUCAAGUGUGAGACACAGAAGUUAAAUAUCAUCUAAAGAUCCCAUUGCAAGAGCAAUUAGCCCUUUGUAAUGAACAGUUCCUCCCAUUACUCAUCCCCAAAAAGGAGAGAGCAUCUAUAUAUUCUACGCAUAUAUACACUAAUCUAGUAAAAUUCAAUUGAUCAUCUAAGGUUGUCACUAAGUACAGCUUAGAUAGAAUACCAAACCUGUCAAGUUACUUCCCAAUAGAUUAUGAUAACAGCAAGAUUGAAUAAUUCACCAAAAAAAUGUCUACAAAUUCAAAUGCUUUUUCACAAAGUUAAAUGCUCACUUCUACACCAACUUUCUAAGCAUUUAAGAUCAGAAACUACUCCAAGUAUUCACAUGAUUCACUUUUUCUUAAGAUACACACUUCACAAAGUAAAGGAAUUUGCAUCCUCAAAGGAUGAAGUUACUUCAGUAAUAUUCUAGAUCAUGUUUUUGAUGAUUCACAAUUAAAGAUUUCCUUAUUUACACCUAAUUUUAGCGACAUAAAACUACAAUGGUUACAACAGAAUUAAAAAUAGUCAAGGACCAAUAUCUUCAAAAACAAAUAUAUCAUCAAACAUCUGCAUACUGUAAAGUAAUAGCCACCUAUAUGUAUCUCAGUUAAUGUUAGUAUUUCAGAAAUCCUAGCCACCUACCAGGUUCAUUCAAAAAACUAAUAGCAGCAACAAUGAUAUGUAAUUACGUUCAUUGUAAUACAUGAUGUAUCUCUAACAUAUUAUAAUAUUCAUAAGAUAUGCUUUGAUUGGCAAACAUUUAAGUUGGGGGAAACAAUCAGGCUACCAUGUAAUUAUUGUUCGUGCCAAAGUAUCAAACUAUUACUUAGCGACUUAAAAUGAAUCGGAAGUUGAGAGAAAACAUGAAAUUUGGAAACUCUCUCAUGCAUAAGAAGUCUACAUGCAUGUGGCAGUUAUUAGAUGAGAAGUUAGUAAAAUGGUAGUUUCCAAUUUAUAGAAGAAACAGCAUUAAUCAACUUUUUUAUAACUAAAACCUAAAUAAUUUUAUGAACUUCCUUAAAUCUAAUAAUCUUUCCUUGACUUAUUGCUUUCUUGUCAUUCUGAUAACUUUUAGUUGACUUAUUGACAUUAAAAGAAUCCAGAUAAGUUUCCCUAUAGUCUUAGAAAAAGGCUGCUAUCACCAACAGACUGGGGAAGGACAAGUAUAAGAUGAUUUAAGAGAAACAGUCUACCCACUAAAGGCAUUAAAGCUCAAUCAAUUAUCAAAAAUUAUACGCAUAUACAUGGAGCCUAGUCCCAACCAUUUGACACUUGCUUGUGAAUCUUUCAACAACCUACCCUUCAUUCCCAAUACAUGAUAUAUUUAAUGACAUUGGAAGCUUUUCUACAUCCCUUUUCAAAGCUUCCAANNNNNNNNNNCCUAUUCUCUGGCCCUUUACAAGCCUAAGCACCUAUCCUUAUCUAACCUUCUAGGAUCUUUGUUGCACAAGUCCAUCCAAAAUAGGUUCCCAUCAUUGUUCCAAACUCAUAAAGCCUGUACUCCUCAUUUAAUAAUCACAUCCUCAUUCCUGACUCUAUCUUCCUAGAUUAACCACAUAUUUGCCUCAGCACUCCAAUCAGUCACUGACACACCAUAUUGCCGAAUGUCUUAAACCACACAACAUAUUGGACCUCAUUGUUCAAUGAAUGUUUCAACUAAGGUUCACCGUCUCGGUAUUAAACCCAUACUAGUACCAUCCUACAAUACAUCAGGUACGAUAUGAUACCGACCGGUACAGCAAAACUUGAUUUCAACAAACGAGCCAAAUCAUGAGUUAUCACAUCCAAAAGCACCCCUCCACUUCGCAUCUAAUUGAAUAUUAUUCUAUCAUAUAUGUAUUAUGCCAUAAAAAUCUCACCGUUUAAUAGAUUCAAGAUGAAACUGAAGCAUCAUUUCCAUUGAAAUUGAAAUUGCAUUUCAUAUAUUAUGUUUAUGUCCUAUUCCUUCUCCAAGGCCGCCUCCACAAUUAUAGUCUAACACAAACCAAGUUUUGUCUAAUCAACUAUAUACAAACUAAGGUACCUCUUCUUACAUAUCAGCCAUAAGUUCAUUUAUAAUGUAUAAAGAUAAGUGAACUUAAAUGCUGCCUAGUUAUCAUGCAUGUUAUAGAAAUUUCAGAUGAUCAAUAAAUGCAUUGAGCUUGUUAACAUCAAGUUGAUCCAUAAAGCUGAUCAAUGUAGAAGGAACCAGAUAGGACUUUUAGGAUAAGGUUCAAUGUUCUGAGAUUAGCAAUAACUGCAGCAUUUUGAACUUCUAGUUCCUCAUUACUUCAAGAUAUCAUUCACUAAUAGACGUUUUAUGAAAUGUAACAUGGAUUGGACCCAUACCAAGUAGAAUAAGAAGUUCAGAAUCGGAUGGUUCAGAACGUCUAGGUUUGCAGCUUUAUCCAAAGCAUUAAAGCACAUCUGUGAAACAAGAUUUGGAAUUAGUAGAGGUAAUUACAUCAACAGCUAAAAAGUGAGGCAUGCUUCGCCAAACAUAGUCGCCAGAACAUACUACAAAUUACGCAAAAAGUAUAGCACUUACCAUUAUACAUCUCACCAAGAAACAGGAGAAACAUAUGGUGGUCACAUAACCAACCUGUUAAACAGGGGGGGUAAAGGCAAUGCAUUAAAUAAUAAAUCAGGAGCUAGAUGCUCUAAAUGAAAAAUGCUUUGCUAUACACAGUAGAACCAAAAGUACCUCCUGUAAUUUUUUGCGUCUCCCUUUUGAUUCAACAGGGAAGCGUUGCAACAUCAGAAAGAGCCUAGCAGCGACAAUGAAAGUGAAUAUGAAAGACACAAGUUGCAUAAAUACACAGAUUAUAAUGUGCAGUACAUACACUGAAAUUUUUAAAUUAUGGAGUGUCAAAACGUAUGGAUCCCUGGAAGGAUACUAACCAUACCAAGUAUCAGUUAAGAGCAAUCUUUCAGAAAAAGGAAUCAGGGCGCUUUUGUUUAGGGGUCGGGGGGUGGGGAGUCAAUCUUCUAUGGUUUGCUAAUAUCUGUAUGAUUUGAAGGGCUCUAAAAUUGGUUAUUUGAUAUCAGUGAUUUGGUGGAUGAUCAUGUUUUAACACUUCUAGAACAUAUGAUUGCAUAAACUCAUUACAGUAAAAUACAGUCCUGUUUCCAUUUAUGUUGCGACCUAAAUAUGCACUACAAAAAGGCUGAAGCUGGCAAAUUUAGCAACGCAUGAGUUAGGAAGCCUAAGGACCCUGAAACAGUCAGCAAACAAAAUUUUAAGGGGAAAAAAUAACUAUAUUUACAAGGAGAACAAAAAUGAACUGCAAGGAGAGUAACAACAAAGUCAACAUAAGCAACAACUUUCAGUUUGGUUGUUGUACUUGCUAAGCAUACCUUAACCAUGUGUUCAGAAUGAGAUCUAAACUAACACAAGGGCUAGUUAUGAGAAUUAUAAAAAAAAGAAGAUAGCUAUGAGAUAAAUGUUAAAAUCAACCAAAUUAGUUAGAAUAGUUAGAUAGACAAAUAUCAUAAGCAUCUCACCUCCCCCCAUAGAGAAGAAACCCAAGAGCAGCAAAUAACGAGACACCUGCCAAUAUACAUAUGUGAACAUUAUUAUAGGUUCAAAAGUAUAUAGAUGAUUUUUUAAUUAAAAUAAUAGAAAGCCAACAAAUUAAAACUGCACCUGCAAAGAACAUCUUUGAUAAGAUGAGAACAGCUCGAACAGGCUUCCACCACAAAAGCAGCCACAGAGCUAUCUGCAGAGUACUACUUCAAUCACUCAAAAAAUACAAGCCAAAUGGUAAAGACCACAUAAUCUUUCCAAACCAUGACGGAUUAAAUAAAUAAUAAGUAAUCUAGGCACAGAAACAGCCUGAAAGUAUACUGUAAAGACUGCAAUUUUCUUAUAUAACUUAAUUGAUGUGUCGACUCAAUUAGUUAUUUGUUUUCUUCUACAUUAACAUCAAUGAAAGCCACUAUUAUCUGCAUCAACAUGACAUAAGGAAAAGAUACUUUUCUUAUACAACUUAAUGGAUUUGUCAACCCAUUCAGUUAUUUGUUUUCUUCUCAACUAACAUCAACAAAAGCCACUAUCAUUUGCAUCAACAUAACACAAGGAAAAGAUUCCCUAAAACCCAAGUUUUAAGUUCCCAGAUUACCAGACUGGCUUCAGCUGUCAUGGUUUUGUAGUAUCACUCAGUUUUAUCCAAAGCCCGUUUGUUUUAGUUUGGUUUCGGUUAAAACCAACACAUAAAAAGGCUUGUGUAUCCUUCACUCAGUCUUUUAUCCCUUUCUUGUUUUUCUUUUCACUUUCAGGGAAAACAUGCCAUGGUACAUGGAAUCAACCUCAUAGAAACAUUUUAAUAAUAUAUAGCAUAGGAAAUUUGCAAAUUUUCAGGAGGCCUGGAUUCUAUAUAUAUAAAUAAGUAAAUAUUGAGAAGUGUAAAUUUUUCAACCAUAUCUCUGUAAAAUUGGUCAAUAUUUAGCAGAAUCUUUCAUCCACAAAUGUCCAAAUCUGGAAAACGGACUAGUUGAAAGAAAUACAGAUUUACUUUUUAACCGAUAAUUUCUUAUUUUAGAACUUCAACACAUGUAUAUUUUUUUUAUGUAUGAAGCAUGUUGGAUGUGUUCAUUAUCAAAUUCUAUAGCCAUUCUUGUGGGUACAUGUUGCCAUGGUUAUUUGCUUUCCCAUAAGAAUAAGAGGUGACACCAAAUAGUAAAUAUUGUAGUGAUUCAUAUUUCAACAGUCACUCUUACUAUUGGAAAAAAUACUUUAAAUCAGCUGAUUCAUGUUUUCUAGCUAACAGUACCAUUACAAUGAAGCCUCGUCUCACUAUUUAACGUUGCCUUUAUGACAACUCACAAAAGCAUUAUGUUGUCUAAAUGUUAUGCUAAAAGGAAUUUACUCAAAUUUACUCAUCAUUCAAAAAUGCAUUUUGUAGGACGCAGAUGAUAUAGUGAGAUUAAGCAGCUCAAAUGCUAUUUUUUGUAUGGUAAUUACGAGUCUCUUGAAAUCUGCACAGAAUAUUGACUUAACUAACCAGUUUGCUGUUCAAACCAUAACCCAGAGCAUCUUAAUGAAACCCCAGGGGCAUUCAUUAACCAAGCAAGAGAAACUUUAACUAAUUAAAUAUGUCAUUAAUUGCACAAUCAUAAUAAUGCAUGCCACUACCACAAUAGGGUUAUUAACUUUUAGGAAUACCCCAAGUCAUUUCUUAACAUGUCCAAUAUUUUCAACUGUCUUAUGCGAUUUCUCAUGUGUUCAUCCACCAGCAUUAGCUGUCAAUACUUGUGAAUGCACCCAUUCAAGGCUCAAACCCAUAAUUUCUGAUUACUAAGCACGGGGUUAUAACCACUGAGGUGAGCCCCAGUUCAUAGUUUGGCAUAAUUUCAGAUUCCCCUAAAUCUAUAGGGCAGCAAAUAUUGAAUCUCAGUUCACUAUAACAAAACAUAAAUGGUAUAUUUGCAAGUAACAAACCAAAUGAAAAUUUUAACGAUGUUUGCAACUAUAAGUUAAUAAAAUAUGAAGAUUUAAGUUGCACCACAAUUUCAAAUUUUGUUGACAUAUCAACUUUUUGAGCAUUAUUAUAUAAAAUGAUUGACAGAUGUGUGCAUCUUCAUAUCAUUAAUAUGUACUGCCACUAAAGAGAUGUAUCAGAUCUCAAGCCUAGCUGUUGAACUAAUUGAUAACAAGAAUAACUAAAUAUUUUUCGAUCAUUUAUUUCGAUGGAAAAAAGUGUUUGAAAGAUAUCAAAAAAAUGUACCUUGCAGAAAAAGUGUAAGUCCACACUCAAAGCAUCUUUCUAAUCACAAUAUUGUGACUCCACCUACCACUUCCAAGAUUGGAGAAACUAUAGCCCACCCAUCACCCAAAUAAUGAAUGAAGUUAGUUCAUAAAAAUUAAUCUCUCAGCUACUUUUGAAUCUUUCACCUCUUUUUUCAUGCAUAGGGCUAGAAAUGAGCAUAUAUGGGUUCAAGACUUACCAACCAGGCCAGGCCUCAUUCACAUGGGGCUAGGACAAAAUAUCAAGGUGCAAAAUGAUUCUAGACAAACUCUGGCCACUGCAUAUACUCAUUGCCCCUAGAAAAAGCCGUUUGCAUGACUGAGCACAAGUAGAGCCUUAGUCAAAAGCUUGCAAGAAUUUUACCUCCUACUAUUAGAGCACCUACUUCCUUUAGUCUUGAACAACCUCAUAUUCCACGACCACCUAAAGCAGUUGCCGGGCCAAAGUGAUGGAGAUCCAAGUUUGUGCCACGUUGCAUCAUGCUGCAGCUUAGAGUUUUUAUUAUAUUUGAUUAUCAUUUUUUUAUGUAUUUUUCUUUUAUUUUCUGGUUAUUUUCAAUUUCAAUAGGUUAUUUUGGAUUCUAGGUUGAGAUUUAAAGAUCUCAAUACUUAUCUAAGAACCUAACUGCUGUAGCAUAUUACAAUUAAUGGCACUGUACAUGUUACAGUAAUCAUGAAUAGUAAGUGCGUCUUAUUAGGAGCAGUUUUGGAUUUUAAAAGAGUUGAAUUAGAAUUUCUGUUUUGUUAUAAAAAGGGGACGCUUAGUGUUUGAUAUAAUCACAGUUUAAGCAGAUUAUGAAUGAAAUAAUGGAGUCUUCAGUUUUCUUUACUCUUGUAGUGUGAGGUCUUGAAACCCUAAGUGUGACUCCAAGGUUUCAGUAUGAGUCCAGUAUUAUCUUUUCCCUUCUCUUAGUUUUUUUUUCUAUGUUUGAUCCCCUAGAGACUUAUUUGGACUUACUUCCUUGUCUCUUAUUCAUCUCUUAUCGAUCUCUAUUUUGGGUUUCACAUCCCAAAAGAUUUUUUUUGGUCAUAUAAAUAUCAGAUUUUCUUUCAAACUAUUCCUGCAAGCACGCGAUUUCAUAUAUUUAAAUGCAUAAAUCCUAAAAGUCUCAAUUUAACCUGUAGAAUCUUAAAUUUUAGGUUAGAGAGUAGCUAUUCAUUAACUAUUCUCUUCAAAAAUAUUAUCUUUCUAGUUUAGUUUUAUCGAAAACUAAGAUCUGCGAUUGAAUUUCCAGUACAUUUCAAUCAUAUCCUAAGCCAUUCUAGAUCCCCUUCACCUGUCCUACAUCACACAGCUUUGAAGCAUUGCUUAUGUUGCACCAUAAACCAGCAGGACCAGAAGCAUCAACCUCCUCGAGCCAUUGCCCAACCACCUAGGAAGCACGGAUGCUUCAAAUUACAUGUGUCUGUAUCAGGUAUGUAUUUACUGGUACUCAUUGAUUACUUCUUGAAGACAUGGCUGAUACUUAUAUAUCUUAUUUUUUAAAAUUAAGAAAAGAACUUCAAAUAGUUCUCAAAUAUACUUAGAGGUUGUUUGGUUGUUGUGAGUUUUUCUAUAACAAAUUAAUUCUCUGUAAAACAAGUUUCAAGAAAAAUAAGGGAAGACCUGUUUUCAUAAAAUUCAUUCUUUGGGUCUUAUUAAUUGUCAAUUUGGGCCAAAUAGGUGUUCCAAAAAAACACCAGACAAAUAUUUCCGUAAAACUCAUUUAUUUCCAGCUUUUAGUAAUCUUAAACUGCUAAAGCUCAUCAACCAAGCUUUGAGGUAAGCUAUCUAGAAGCAUCAAAUGUUUAAACAAUUGGAUAUAGUAUGCCACAAUAUGACACGAUUGGGUACUCCACUUCGAAGUAAAUCGGUAACACCAGCUAAAGUUGUCCAACAAUUGGACAUUUUUUGUUUAAAGUCUCAUCCAGAGAAACCUUAGUUUAAAGUGUUAGAUGCUUCAAAUGAAAUUUCCUUAUAUUUUAAGUUUAGAGCUAUCAAGAUUUUCCAGACUCUUCAAGUUUAAGUGUUGUUAUCACAAUUAAUAUGUACACUUUAAGCAAAGGGUUGUUAUGUUUUCAAUAUAAAGUUAUCAUAAUUAUGUGAACACUUUAAGUGAAAAUGUAAUUCAAAUUAGUUAUCAACUUAGGUAUCUCAAGACAUCUUAAAAAACUUUAAAUGAGCCUAGCAGAUAACUUGCAAGAAUUGUUACUAAGGUAUGGCAUUUUCCAUGUUCUUUGUCUUAUCUCCAUGGGGACAUGAUACGGCAUGCCAAAUACAGCAUGACACACUGCAAACAUGCAUCCUUUCAUAGCCCACGCCCCAUCUAAAUUCCUAAUCUUAAGGACUAUAUUAAUCAUGAUUGACCACAUAUCCUCAUUCUCGUACAUAAUAUGGCUGUGCCUCUCAUCUUUCAUCCAUCCAAGAUGAAGCCAUGGAAAGGAAAAAGGAAAAAAUGUGAAAAAACUAAAAAAGGGUUAAAGAAGUGGGAUGAGGGAAGAGCCACAAACAAAGAAAAAAAAUGAAAAGAAGUGAGAGAAGAGGGAAGAAUCUGUACCUUCCUCAUCACCACCCCAACUCUAAGACAUCCACCACACCUUUGAGCAGUAGGAGCAUUCUUCUCUCUCUUUCUUUUUAGCCUAAGCCAUAGGAGGCAACUGGAGGGGGUGUUGUUCCCAAGCAAUGAUUAAGGACUUUGAAAAAAGCCCUUUUCCCUAACAGUGAUGUUCUUAAGUGAACAUGGCCAUAGCAUUUCUAGUUGUAGAGCCCAGCAUCUAAGCAUGCGGCCCAUUAGCCAUAACCCAUAAAUAAGGCUAAAUAGAUUUAUUCAUUAAGAUUAUGUUAAUUUAGUGUUUUUCUAUUCUUUCUCCAAUUCAGGGCUAUUAGGAUAUAAAUUACUUAUUUUAUCCUGUUAGUUUUGCUAAAAUUUUAUGUUCUAAUAUAUAUACAUAUAUUAAUUAUAUGUCAUUGUGUCCCUGUAUACACAUUUUUUGAGAUUGUUGUGUCAAAUUCUUCGGGAUACUUGGACACUUGAUACCCAUGUCCCGUGUCCAAGAAACAUUUCUCACAAGCACAUGGUUAUUCCAUUAAGUUUUUGUUUGUUAGACAAACUCUAUAAUUCUACUUCCACUUUUAAGUUACUCUUCCGAAAUAAGCAUCAAAACAUGCACACGUGUGUCUACGUAUGUAGGUAGGUAUCUAUGGACUGACACAUAUACAUAUAAAUAUAUGUACGAGUCCACACACAUGUCCCUGUGCCUGGAUUUUUUGUGGUUGUCAUGUCCAACACUUGAGGACACUUCAACACUUAGCAACCAUGUCAAGUGUCCAAAAAUGAGGGAGGGCAUUUUCUUUCUUUUCUUAAAGAAUAACCUUUAAAAAGUUAUGGUCAAUUUUGUAGCCUAACAUGUCAACACUAAAAUAUGAAGUAUGCUUUAAGAUCUAUCGAUUUGAAUAAUGAUUAAAUGAUGAGAUUGUCAAAAUUGAUGCUGUCGUAUAAUGUGUAGAUUGUCAUUUUGUUAGGCUGCUACGCUUCAUGGAUUUUUCUAUUUACAUAUCUAAAUAUAUGCAUGUGUAUACACACAUACAUAUAUGUGCACUAUAGCAUAUAAACAUACAUAUAUAAAUAUAUAAAAGAGGAUGUAUAUACAUAUAUGUAAUAUUUAUAAGUAUGUGUAUUUGUAUGUGUAUAUAUGUGUGUGGGUGUGUAUAGAUAGAUACAUGUAUAUAUGUAUGUAUAUGUAAUUGUUUGCACUCCUCAACAACCUAGAAGGCAAUCAUGAGCAAGCGCCACGUGGACCAGUCAAAGUGGAUGAUAGUCACAUGACCCUUGCUGGACUGAUAGAGUUCGGCUGUGAUAAUCAAACAUGAAGGCACAAGCCAAAGGAGGAAGAUUCAGCAAUGACGUUGACAAGCAAGCCAAGAGAUUAAGACUGGGUCGUGAUCAACCGCAAUACAAGGUGGAUGCAUUGGUCUCAAGAGUCUCCCAAGGCACAUAAAAGGCCAUUAAAGAGAAACGGCCAACAUAAGCCAUGUAGGGAUAGGGCAAAGAAAGUUUAACGAUGACCAAGGCUGAUAGAGUAUGAAUAUUGGUCAAACAAUUAGUACAAAGUGGCCAUUUUCAUGGUCAUGCAAUAGUAGGAAGACAACCGCAAUUAGUUACCAAAACUACUACAAGUCGAGACUUGAUGCGGAUAACCGUCAAAGUGAGCAGUUACUAUAUUUUUAAUAUAAAUAAUGGAUUUGUACUAUGUAAUAGGACCCUUCGACAUCCAAAUCAAUGCAAUUUAUCUUAUCUAAGUUCUUAAUCUACCAGUAGUUUAUACCUUAAGAGCAGUGGUAACUUAAAUUAGAUUUCUACUAUCAUAGCCUUAUGCUACAUCCCUAUUCCUUAUACAGAUCCAUCUCACUCAAAUGGUAGUAUAAUAGUGGCAAAAAAUUUUGAGGUCAAAGCACCUGGACCCAUGGUUGAUGGAACCGUCCCGAACCGUUCGGUUCAAAGCGCACCAAGUCGUAUCUGCGGCAGACUGGAAUGGUUCCGACAACCAAAACGAGAAACUGGGAUGGAAGAGAUGAAGAAGGAAAGAGAGAAAAAGAGAGAGAGCAGUGAAGGGAGAGGAAAAGGAAGAAAGAGAGGGAAAGUGGCUGUCAGUCGAGGGCUGCGAAGGGCUGGAGAGCCGCGCAGAGGGGCAGAGGAGGGGUUCCACCUCCGGUUACCCUGUUUCUUUUGAAACAGGGGUCCCCGAGGGGACUUCUUUUUAUUUUCAAAAUUUUUAAGUAAAGUUGAAAUCCUUCGGGAGUCUUGUUUCAAAUGAAAUAGGAAAACCAGAGGCAGAACUUCCGCCGGCCUCCUCUCUCCCUCCCUCUCUCCCUCUUCUCUCGCUCUCUUUUUUUAUCUUCGGUUCUCCCUCUCCCCCACCUCCUCUACUAUGUCGGUAUGGGCCAGCACAAAACAACAUAGAAAUGUACCGACCCAUGCCAUCGAAAAACCGGUCUGCACCCCAGUUCCGGCACAGCAAUCCUUGCCUGGACCUACAAACUCCUAUAAUUCAAUUACCUUUAAUAAAAGACAUCACCACCAUCUUUUCGGCUAAUCUAAUACCGAUGGCAUGCUCGUGCACAUAUCUACCCCUUGCUAUUAGGCUUGUCAACUCUCUCUAUCAGACGACCGAGUUUCUUAGGACAAGGAGUUCCUUGGCACACCUAGACACGAUGGAAAGGGUGGGAACAGUGAUGUAUGUAGAUAUACAUAUGUGUGCAUGACAAUCUAGAUGUAUAUGUAUUUGUACAUAUGCAUAUGCAUGGUAUAUGCAUAUGUAUGUAAAUAUGUAUGCAUAUUAAUAUAUCUUAGCCAUAUCAUACUAUAUUCUUCAAGAUUUGCCAUAUCGAUGGAUUUGUACCGUGUAACAGCUAUAUCGCAUAUCCAUGUUGAUGCUUCUAGUCUACCACAAGCAAUCACAUAGAAAUUAGUUUAACACUACUUCAAAACUUCUGAGCUGUCACCUCCAAAGCGAAGAUUCUCACCUCCUUCAUACCGUUACCACAGAAUAUCUUCUCCUACUUUUAUCUUUGAAUUGACAAGCGAGUUAGUUGAUUAUAUUCUAAUACUUAAAAUAUGCAUAAAACCUAUUGCAUGUACCAAAGAUGAACUUGAAUGGGAUUGAGAAGGAUAGUUACUGUACAACCAAUAGAAAGGGCCUAAAAUGGAUAGACAAAGUUUAUGGCCAACACCAAUUCGAAGUGGUGCUUGACUGUAUUAUGGAGGAGGACAAUGUAAAUAGCAAUAGUAGACACAAUGACAAAUGUUGACAGCAUGUUUGAUAAGUAUUUUGCUUGCAUUAAGCUAAAAUUUUUGGACUUCACUCAUUUCCUUUUAAUAUGAAACUAAAUUUAAGAACUUUACUAUUGCGCACUCUUAAAUUUAUCUAUUAUCAAACUUUGAUAUAGUUACAAUUAUUUAACAUGAUUCGGGGAAUAUGUUGUUUAUAGUGACUUUUAAAGUGUUCUAAUAUAUAUCAAGCUACCAAUAACCAUAUAUUAAAAUUGUCUUGAUAUAUUUUAAGAUGUUUCAAUUCAUAAAUGCCCCUUUCUAUAAUUAAUAAUGUCAUUAUGAUAGUUCCCUAAUUUUGGUUCAUAAAUUCAUUUUUGAAAAAUUAAAUUAAAAUCAUGGGUCAAUGUACACCUCAAAAGAAAAAAAAAGACAAUUACAAGUUAUCCAACUUCAAAUCUAAUUAACUAUUUUAAUUUGUAAUAAAAUUUCCCAUUGUAUUAUCUUAUUAAUAUCAAUUUCUAAGACAUUAAGUUGUUUCUGGCUCAAAGAAAAAGUCUUUCAUAAGUAACAGCAUACAAGUUGCAUCCAUCAUGGCAUAGAGUUCCAUGGAUUCAUGGAUCAAAGGCUCAUAAGCCAUAGUUAACAAUGUGAAUGGAGCACCUAAAAAAGUAAAAUGUCCAAAAGACUACAUUAACCAAAAUGAUAACAAUAGCUCUUAAUUUCAGAUAUUACUUGAUUGAGAUCUGUCUUAGCUAUUAAAUCUCCAUCUAUUUGUUUUCGAUGUCAAGUGCCUGGUCCGUAGUAGUUGGAAUUUUCUAUCUAGAGUAAUACACCCACUUCAACAUCUUCCUUCCUAGAAUCUUGAACCUGCACCUACUUCCUAAGCACUUCCUUGCAAAAAGUGUUUCUAAAAUAUUCACUUCUCUGCACCCAUACCUACAUUCCACUCCUAAACUCGCUUCGAAUUCUAGCAACUAACAUCUAGUCUCCAACAUGUUAAUUAGUCAUCAAAUCAAUAAUUCCAUGCCACAAGACAAGAGGUUUGUACAAACCAAGGUCGUUGAAAUGAGGAAAAACUAGUUCACCUUCCAUGUGUAAAUUGGAAAACCUAUUGGCAAUCCAAUUUCUUUGAUUGCAUUAACUUUCCAGUUUUAUCAUACAGCUAACUAGCUGUGAGCAAACAGAUAUAUGUAUUUGAAAGAUAUGCUAGUCCAAAGUAUAUCAUUUGAUAUGCUAAUCAACUGUUUACCUGUAUAGCAUAAACCACUCCAUUAAUUGUAUAGAAAGUUGGCCUAAGCCCAUCAGUCGACACGGCACGUGCCUGAACACAUUCCAAUUCAGAAAAAGGAACUGAGUAGGCAUCCGAAAUCAUUUUAAGCAAAAAGAAACUAAACAAAGAAUCCAUGAUCAGUCAAGAUAAUCAAAAAUGAGCAAGGAUGGUUCAUCAAAUUGAGAAAUAUCCGACCUGAUAAUAUAUUUCAGCCCAGAAGAGUACCAACAGUGCAUAGGUUGUGAAGAAUGCAAGACCAGGAAAAUCAAGAAGAACAUGUUGAAAGAUCUGAAAUGCAACAAUAUUAUAAUAAUGGCUUGGAAAUAUUUGGUUCAAAUGCUCUGGAACCAGCACAUAGUUAAAGUUCAUCAAACCUCAGGCUUUAUCUGCUGCACAUUCCGACGAAAAGCAAAAAUAACCGAUCGGACUGCAAUUGACCGAUAUAACAGCAGUGUCAACCAUAAGCAAAGAAAAAUAUCCCCAGUGUUGUUUAUGGAAAACAUGUAUUGAAGGAUACAAACCGCCAUUCACCAAGAAAUUCAAGAAAUGGAAGACCUUUUGCGUCGUCCAACCAUACUCUGGUACUCUACAUUCAAUUCUAACCAAUUGUAUCUGCAAGGCACAAAAUUUCAGCAUCCAAAAGCAUAAUUUUUAAUGGAAUUUUCAAGCCUAGGAAAAUGAAAGGCCAGUUUUCAGUCUUCACUUUGUCGCAGAAAUCGUGAACUUAAUAACCCAGAGGAGGAAAAGUGUUCUCAUUAAAAAAAACAUUUUUCAUGGAAACCCUAAAAUUUCCAAGUUUUUCUAAGAAGAUUCUUUGAGUGCAAGCAUUGAACACGCUAACCCUAGGUUUCUAGUUUUCUGAACAUGAAAAGAAUAAUCUUUUCAAAAACUGAGGCUUCGAAUUAGAAACCCUAGCGACCUGAAAAUCGAGGAACAAACAAACCAAACGAUCGAAUCGAAUAACGACAAAGGGAAAGGUAGAGAUCCAACCAGAGCCACGGCUCCAACGAAUCCAAAGAGGCCCGCUAGUGUAUGGUAGAUCCGGUCCUGCCACAAAGGCGAGUUGUUCACCUCGUCCCACCAAUUCGCCGCGCUCGUGAGCGCCACCGCCGCCACAUUCGGCACCACCGACGAGGCCAUCGGACCCCGCUGGAACUCCCCCCAAUAUUUGAAAUUCGAAUUCCCAGUGGCCGGUCCCUAAAAAUUCUCGGAUCCGAGAAGCUGGAGAGCCAGAGAUUGGAGAAAUCCAGGAGACCGAUAGAAGAGAAAAAAAAGGACCGAGGAAGGGAAAGGCGAGACGAAACCCGAAAAAAGACGAGAGGGCUGGGUUAAAACUUCAAAAACGGCCUCGGUUUGGAUUGUUGUAGCCGAUGGGCUGCUUCUAGCUCGUGCGGGAAACGGCCAGAUGAGUCGGACAGCCGGCAAUAGCCGGUGGGUUGGCUAGGGUAGACCGACACGUGGGAGUCUCCGCAGGGAACAGCUCAUUCGAUGGAGGUCCAGAUUGGCUGACGGCUAUGAUGCAAUCCCACGUGACGUGGGAAUUAUGUCGUUGCCGUAAUAAUUAUGCCACGUUGGAGUAGGGCAGCCCACGGCCGACUAGAACUAUCCUACGCUUUAACCUGGGAGGCCCAUCAAAUUAUGAGCUGGGCUGACGCCGGGUGAUAAAUUUUUGUCGCAAUUUAGAAUCCAAUUUAGCUUUGGAUGAUGACCAUCAUAGCAUGCUGGGGUCGGUUCAAAUCAGAGAUUCACUAGAUAAAUAAACUAUAAAGUCAUCAAAUUUUACCGCCAAAUAACCCCCGAAAAAAACUAAUAGGUGCUACUCCAAGAAGUCUUCACAUACAAAGUUCAUUAAAUAUUUCUAACCACUGGAAUCUAAACAAACAAAAAAGAUAGUGAAAGUCAUUUUUUCUACUCCUCUCUCUAGCUUCUGUUUUUUUUUCCUCUCUCUCCUUGUUUUACUUUCAUACUCUCUCUUUCCUUCCACCAAUUUAGAUAAUAAUAUUAUUUUGCAUCACCAUGAAACUCUAUAUAUGAGUGAGGACCAACACUCUUCAAUUGCUGCCUCAAGAGUAAAGUCUAUUUUCAAUAAUAUUUUUUGAUUGUGAUAAUUUUUUAGACCUCUAAGAGUUUAGAAUCAUCCUGGGGUGAUUCUCAAACCAUGUUACUGUUGAUUUGUAGGAGAAUGUGUGGUGGACUAUGAUCCAAAGUUGACUUUAUGAGCUUACUCGACAGUUUAAAACUUUACCAUAAUCAGUCCAGAGAAUUUUGGUACUAAAAACCCUCUGAUUUGAUAUCAAGUUACUUUAUCAAUUCACCUCGAAUGGCAUCAAUUGAAAUUUGGACAAGGAAGAUAUGGAUAAUAUGCCAAAGAAGUGAUACUAUUGCUUAAACUACCAAAUUUGCGGACACUAGUAGUAGCACCAGAUGCAUCUAAUGGUUCAAACGAAACUAUCAAGUCCAUAGAAAGAAAAAUAUUUUAGUGGAGGAAACUCACUUUACCAUGAAUUAGGUACCAUCAAAAUUUUUAAAACAACUACUUCUAAAUAUAGAAUUUGUUGGGAAUAGUCUUCUUGAUAUAGCACAAGGAAUCCCUACUAUUUGAUAUAUGCCUUGGUCCUUAUUGCAUCAAGAUAUAUGACAAACCCACGAAGGAAUAUGGUAAAUGGUCAAACACCAACAAGGUUGAAGAAAAAGCAUCAUAUGGCAGCAUUGAGAGCUGUACUAGAACAAACCUAAAGGUCCAUACCUCAUCAUUUGUACGAAGCAUUCUUAACACACCAAUAAUAUGUUAUCGCAUGCUAGAAAACUAAUCCACGAGUCCAAGUGCUUAAAUUUUGUGACAAAAAUAUUUCUUUGUUUGAUUAGAUUAACUUGCAAUCAAUCAAGGAAUCUAGUGCAAAUUAGUCUCAAAGAUGAGUUUAACAUUGUCAUUGCAGAUGGAGUUUGAGUUUCAAACUUCUUCAAUGCAUCGAUAUCUGUAAUCAAGUAAAAUUUCUAGCUCAUACUAAAUCACCAACAUCAGAGCUUGAAUAAGGAAGAUAUGGCUGAAAACAAAAUUGAUGCUAAUGUUUCCAUUUUUGGCAAUAAAGACUAGGGUGUUGGUGUGAAACCAACAACAGUGCUCUACAAUCAAUUGCGAUUAUUGUUAGUUUGAAAUUUGCUACUUUACAAGUCCUAUUUAGCCUAGGAGUAAACUCAUGCACCCUAUUAGCCAUCAAUAUAGGUUCUAAUGGCGACAUAAGUGCAUCAAAUGGUCCAGAGUUCUAUAAGCUUCUUUAAGGUAUGAGAUUGCUUAUAGAAGGUCACUUUUUUUUAGUGGUAUGAGGUUGUGUUGUCGAUUCAAUUAGUGAGAAGAAAGGAUUUUCUUUUCUUUCAUUCAUGUUGCCCCCUUAUGCAGCCUAAAAGAGAGGGUGAAUUGGAUUUUUUAAAAUUUUAAACUAUAAGUACAGUGGAAAGAUAACUUACUAAUGUGUAUGUGAUGUAAAAUGAGAGAUAUGAGCAAUAAGUAAGGUGAUAAACAAAAUAAAGAAAGAACGCAAUCAAAGCACCACAAAUACAAAAGAUUUAUAGUGGUUGGGUGCCAAACCAAGUAUCUACAUCCACUCUCCAAGUCCCCUACUUGAAAACUUCACAAACGAUUACAAUGUCAGAUACCACCGGCCAAACACCCUAGCUCUCCAAGCUAGUCACUUAUUUUCUGGAUACGAGCAAGCCUUACACACACUCCAUUUCAAGGUACGGAUCAACCUCUCUAAGUUUCAACUCAACUGAAUCUUGUCCCACGAAGACAAUGAAAUACAACAUAACAAUGAUUAAUAUACAAUGUCUACAAUUAAAGCUCCUUAGUGAGAAGAAAUAAAUCAAUUAAAAGCCCUUUUGAAAUGAUGGAAGAAAUCUCUUAAUGUCCACUCCAACUGGAAAUGCUUAAUGAAUGCUCUUGAAGUGGUUGGUGAAGUUGGAUUGAAUGCUUCUCACCCAAUGAAUGCUUUUCUUGCUUUGAAUGCUCUUUUCGCUAAUUCUUCUUGAGUUUUUCUCUUAUUUUUCAUCUUUUGGAGGCCUAUUUAUGAAGAGAAGCUGCUGAAAAGUGAUUACUAGCUGUUGAAGACAGUUGGAGAAAGGUUGAGCUCAUUUAAUGCACUUCAUUCUCGUUGGAAAACUAGCCGUUACAACCUGCAAGUACAGAGAGGUCGACCUCUGGUCUAGGGGUCGACCUCUAGAUGGAACCUAGAGGAAACUUGAAACACCAUCCCUCUGUUUUUUGCUUGUGGCACAUCAGGGACCGACUUAAAGGUCGACGCUUGGUCCGGCGGUCCACCUUAAGGUCCACACCUAGUCUGUGCCAAGCGUGCCACUCAUCUCCAGCAUGUUGGAGUCGACCUGCAGAUCAACAUUAUUAGAUGUAUGCCCUAAAAGCCAAUCUGCCUGAUACAUUAUUUAUUCUGAAACAUAAUUUUGUACUUGAGUUUGUUAUUAUUUAAUAAUAUUGGGCAUCUUUUUCAUUCAUGUUGUGUAUGUGUCCAUGAAUCGUCUAAGAAAUUAAUAAGAUGAUGAUAGAUAUUCUCAAGAGUUGAGAAUUUGAACCAUGUGUCAUUGAUAAUUAAUUCCUAAAUGCUUCUGAUCGAUGAAUCAUCACGAGGACGGUGAUUGAUCUGAUGAGAUUAGUGCACAGAUUGCUUUUCUUUUGGAUGGACGAGUCUCGAGUCCACAGUGUAGGGACACUGAAGUGAUAGUGCAGGUGCUUGUUAGAGAACAAGAGUACCGAGCGUGACCAAAGCAAGAAGUCACUUGGAUGUCUAUCCACUCGUCAGUGACUUACUUGAUGUUGCAAUGGUAUGACUGAUCUUUCGACCUGUGGUGCCUCAGCUAUUCACAAUGAGGUUGCUGUAGUUUGACUGCACAUAUACAUGGUCUCUAGCCAUAUGGGUUCUUGUAGUGCAGAUUGGCUGCAGUAGGUUCACUGUAGGAGUAGGGUAUGCACCUAUAUAAAAUCUAUCGAUCUUGAUAGAUAAAGAGUAGUCCUAUGUGAUUUAUGAGAUUGAGUUCGUAAGAUCUCGGCCAGGGCAGUAUGUACAGUGGAAAAAGAGUUUUCCACUCUCGAACUAAAGUCGAAAAAAUCUUAACAUAUGACAAACAAUGGGGUUUGACAGAUUAUCCAUGACAUCCGUCUCGUAGGGAUCUACGAUAGAAGGACUAUAUCAUACAAUAGUUGUACCUAGAAGUUUAUCUAUUUCAUUCUGCUGGAUUACCACUAUAUGCUGCUAGGUGUCACUGGUGGAUGGUGAGACUCACAGAAAUUAUCUUGAUGGUCAAUGAUCCUUGUUGAGAUGAGUUGGAAUUGUUCCAACCCAUUGAAAGGAGUUUUCAAUGAUAUUGUGAUAGGGAUAACAAUAUAUCUCACUACCAGACAGAAUAAAAACUAUGGGAUCACACACAUUAGAGGUUUUGAUCGAUCUAAUGGUUAGAUUGUGAUUUGGAAUCACAAUAAAUCAUGAUUAUCAAUUUGAUUGAUAAUUGGUUUAACCCACUAAGAGUUAGUGAGUUGAAGAAGGAAUAAUUGCAAUUGGAUUGUAAUUUGAUUGAAUCAAUUUGACUUAAUUAAAUUGGGCUUGACCUUAUUAGAUAAGGUUUAAGAGUCCUAUUUGCAGUAGGACUCCUAGAGUCCUAAUUAGAUUAGGACUGCAAAUUAUAAGAGUCCUACUUGGAGUAGGGCUCCUAGAGUUCUAAUUAGAUUAGGACUUGGGAAUCUUAAUGGAUGUAGAAUCCUAAUUGCAAUAGGACUCCUUAUUAGAUAAGGAUGAAGAAUCCAAAUUGCAAUAGGACUCCUUAUUAGAUAAGGAUUAAGAAUCCAACUUUUGGCGAGAGCAGUCCAUCCCCGAUAUUCGUCGUGGAGUGCACCCGGGUAUAGGCAGCAGAGAUCAUUCAUGCAGGCUUAACACAUGAGCCUUUAAGAGCUCGGGGCACCUGGGGCCCCCACUCUACUGAGGUAGCACCUCACACGGUGUUUUUCACCUAGGAGCCCCCACCCAUGAGCUUCUUUAAGGUCAACUUUGAUGGUUUUGUGCUGGAUGCGGCAGGAGAGGAGGUGCUGAAUUUGUCAUUAGGGGCCCGAACUUUAGGGUAGUGGCUACUGGUGCAUGCCAGAUCUUCGAUACCUCAGUUCUCUGGAGUAAAGUUGCAGGCGACUUGGGCUGGCCUAAGCCAUGCAUUGCGAGAGCUAUAGGCCAGCUCAAUUAUAUUGGAAGGCGACUAGACCACCGUGAUCAGCUGGAUCCAAGGUGGCUCGAGUGGCGGUGGAGAGGGACACCCUCUGCUUCGAGAUAUUUGGGCAAUAAUGAGUGACAGGGUGGCCUUUCAAGCUAACCAUGUAUUCAGAGAGGCCAACAGGCAGCGGACUAGGUGGCUUCUUAUGUAGCCUGCUACUCUAGGGGCACCCUGUGGGUUGGGGAGGUGUAGUUGCCUAAAGCACUCCGAGAUUUGUUGUUUUCUAAUUUUAUUGGAUGUAUCCGUGCUCGUAAUGUAUAAAAUAACUAUUUUUAGUAAAGAAGUAAAAAUAAAAGAGAUGGAGCUCGAUGAGACCUAUACAUUUUUUCUACUCACAAUAAUCAUUAGAGAAUCACGCUCAUAAUGGAUGAAAAGAGCCCAAAAUGAAUACGACCCACAAUAGACACGGCUCCAACAGAGUGAACAGGGCCGAAUAUGGCUCAAAAGGUAUACGAUCUAUAAUAGACACAACCCAACAGGAUGAACAGGGCCCGAACUCGGCCCACGAUGGAUGCGGCCCAACAGAAUGAAUAGGGCCUGUUAUGGGGGAAUUGAGCCGCCAUGCCCCACGUGAUCGGCACGCGUAUCCAGGAAAGCUACAGCUGCCCUAUGAUCCAGCACUCCGACCCCGAGUCGGACCUCCUCGGCUCCGCAGCCCNNNNNNNNNNNNNNNNNNNNNNNNNNNNNNNNNNNNNNNNNNNNNNNNNNNNNNNNNNNNNNNNNNNNNNNNNNNNNNNNNNNNNNNNNNNNNNNNNNNNNNNNNNNNNNNNNNNNNNNNNNNNNNNNNNNNNNNNNNNNNNNNNNNNNNNNNNNNNNNNNNNNNNNNNNNNNNNNNNNNNNNNNNNNNNNNNNNNNNNNNNNNNNNNNNNNNNNNNNNNNNNNNNNNNNNNNNNNNNNNNNNNNNNNNNNNNNNNNNNNNNNNNNNNNNNNNNNNNNNNNNNNNNNNNNNNNNNNNNNNNNNNNNNNNNNNNNNNNNNNNNNNNNNNNNNNNNNNNNNNNNNNNNNNNNNNNNNNNNNNNNNNNNNNNNNNNNNNNNNNNNNNNNNNNNNNNNNNNNNNNNNNNNNNNNNNNNNNNNNNNNNNNNNNNNNNNNNNNNNNNNNNNNNNNNNNNNNNNNNNNNNNNNNNNNNNNNNNNNNNNNNNNNNNNNNNNNNNNNNNNNNNNNNNNNNNNNNNNNNNNNNNNNNNNNNNNNNNNNNNNNNNNNNNNNNNNNNNNNNNNNNNNNNNNNNNNNNNNNNNNNNNNNNNNNNNNNNNNNNNNNNNNNNNNNNNNNNNNNNNNNNNNNNNNNNNNNNNNNNNNNNNNNNNNNNNNNNNNNNNNNNNNNNNNNNNNNNNNNNNNNNNNNNNNNNNNNNNNNNNNNNNNNNNNNNNNNNNNNNNNNNNNNNNNNNNNNNNNNNNNNNNNNNNNNNNNNNNNNNNNNNNNNNNNNNNNNNNNNNNNNNNNNNNNNNNNNNNNNNNNNNNNNNNNNNNNNNNNNNNNNNNNNNNNNNNNNNNNNNNNNNNNNNNNNNNNNNNNNNNNNNNNNNNNNNNNNNNNNNNNNNNNNNNNNNNNNNNNNNNNNNNNNNNNNNNNNNNNNNNNNNNNNNNNNNNNNNNNNNNNNNNNNNNNNNNNNNNNNNNNNNNNNNNNNNNNNNNNNNNNNNNNNNNNNNNNNNNNNNNNNNNNNNNNNNNNNNNNNNNNNNNNNNNNNNNNNNNNNNNNNNNNNNNNNNNNNNNNNNNNNNNNNNNNNNNNNNNNNNNNNNNNNNNNNNNNNNNNNNNNNNNNNNNNNNNNNNNNNNNNNNNNNNNNNNNNNNNNNNNNNNNNNNNNNNNNNNNNNNNNNNNNNNNNNNNUAAAUCGCUGAGAAGAGGUGGACGGCUGAGAGCUGAUCACACGCGCUGGGGCGCGGUGGAAUCGCCACGGACGGCCGGAUGUUGGACUCGGGACGCUGAAUGCUUCGUGGACGCACGAGAGAAACACUUGAUCGCAGGUUCCAAGAGCUGGGAGAAAGGCUGAUCGCGGCAUGAUUUGAUCACGGAUCCUGAGACGCGGACGGGUCUUGAGAGGGCUGAUGUGGCUAACGGACACGGCAAGGAUGCUGAAGUGCUUAUGAAUGGCUGAAUCUGGGCUCUGUUCUGCAGCUGGAAAGAGAUGAAUUUAUAUAAUGAUAAAAAUUAUAAUAAGUGCUAAGGGUAAAAUAUUUAAUCAUGUAAAUGUUAACACCUAUUAUUUUCAUUAUUUUGCUUGCAUUAGGCUAAGUUAAUUGGUACUUAGAUCGCACUUUUGUGCUCUCAUCAGCUGGAGGCUAGAAAACCUUAGCUUCGGUUUCUAUUAAAUAAUCUAAGACCUCCCCCAAUUUACCCCACCACUGAACAAGCCACCAACUAUCCUAUUCUUCCUCUCUCUACGACUCAUUGCCAUGCCACUGCUCUAUUUUCCUCAAAAUCCCAAUCAAGAUAUUACUAGAGAUGAGGUAAUUGUGCCUAGCCACUUUCUCUCUCAACUUACUCUUGAAUAGAACCAUACUGCUAGUUGGGAUCUCCUCGAAAGAAUAUUGGAUCUCACCAUUUCAAUGUGACCACCUGCUAGCCCACUAUGACUACUAGCAACACACUCAUCACUGUGGCCCUCUUUCCCCUUCCAAAAGAGGCGGUGGAGCCUUCUUCCACCCAUCUAAAUCUCUAUUUCUUCCAUUCAGUUUCCAUCGCCACUUUUUACCAAACCUCCGGCGGUGCUCAUUGUGUGACCGUUGAGCCAACCACCUCGCUUUCCUUCUAUUUCCCCUUAAGAAGGUCACAAAUAGCCCUCCUCCUGGGUUUGGCCAAGUAUAAGAAAAGAGGGAGAGUGUUCUCUAUUUUCUUCUUCUCACACGAGCUCUCUCUCUCUCUCUCCCUUCCUCUCACACGAGCUCUUUCUCUUCCUCUCUAGUCUAUGGGCGGGCCCCGAUAGAGGGUCCUUCUCAUUGUUUCUCUAUGCCCCUAUUGAUCCUAGUAGAGAGUCUCGAACUAGUGUUUCCAUGAUCGUCUACUGUGUUCGGCCCCACCCUAGCUUUAGCCGGGUAGCAUUGGACACCAUUAUUGAAAACACUUUUAUAUCACUUUUGUGUUGAUAGAACUCUUAGUUCAUAAUCCUUUGGUAAAAUUACAUAUAACCUAUCUGGACUGUCAAUCAUCGCCACUUGGCUAAUUGUACUUUUUUGUCUCUUUCAAGAUCUUCCACCAUUAAUCAAGAACAUGAUAGUUUUCCAAAUUAUUAGUUGUGGUUCCUAAGGAUGCAAUUGAUCAGACAAGAAGAUGUUGAGCAAGAAAUUUUCUAGUCUCUAAAUUGAGGUAAAAUCUAAUUUCUUACUUAUUUAUGUAGUCUCAAAUUAAGUAGGAUAGAACUAAUUGGGCUAAGAGUAAUUUGGAUAUUAGAGAUAAAAUUAGAAGUUUGGUAGUUUUUUAUUUAUUUCUUGUUCUAAAGGUUAAUGUGGACAAGUUGGAUUUAGUGAUUUUAGGUGUACCCUAGUAAACAUUGUACUUGGGUCUAUCACCGAUAGAGGUAAAUAACAUAGCACUUCAUAGUGUUUUUUCUUUACAAUUUGUUAGAAGAAAUGAUUUGAAAAAAAAAUACGAUUAGUAUAUUAAUAUUACUUUAUGAUCUCUGCUUUCGGUUUGACAAAAGGAAUUAAGCAUGUUGUUAUUAUUUUUCUAAUUAUUUAUUUUUGGAAUGAAAUAAGAAUAUAGUAUGUGUUUUGAUAUUCUAGUAAAUGAGUUAUUUUUGAACACAUAACAAAUUUGAAAAAUAUGAUUGGGUAAUUGUGAAGUUGCUUAUAUUAUAUUAUAUAUAUAUAUCCAUACAUACAUACAUAUACAUAUAUAUACAUACAUACAUACAUACAUAGAUACAUACAUAUAUAUAUAUAUGUAUAUAUAUUCUCAACAUGACUAUGGUUUGGCCUCGAAUUGUAUAUUGUGCCUAUCAACUUAUAAUCUGCAAAAAUAGUUUCGAUACCGAGCCAUUAGUGAUUAAAAUAGUGGUAUAUGUUAUCUGUUUUUUGGCACCUAGUGCAUCUUCUAUCUGUUACAUCUAUGUUUGACCCAUACUACUAGGUUAUAUAGCCAUAAACUGACGUUGAGUUUAGUAUCAGUUUAUAAAAAGCAAUUUUUUUGAAAGAUAUAUAUGUAUUUUCUGCAAAUUUGCUGAGAAAAUAAGUUUACUGCCAGUAAAUAUUAUGUUUUAAAUUACUAAGUGAUGAUUUAUUAUUACCUAGUGAUGUUUUGGGCUUUUUAAAAUUUUAACCUACAAGUGCAGCGAAAUGAUAACUUACUAAUGUGUAUAUGAUGUGCAAAGAGAGAUGAACAAUAAGUAAAGUGAUUAGCAAGAUGUAUAAGGCACACAAUCAAAAUAUGAUAAACACAAAAAUAUUAUAGUGAUUUAGUGCCAACCAAACACGUACAUCUACUCUCAAGCUCUCUACUUAAAAAUUUCAAUCCACUAAUCAUUUACAAACGAUUACAACAUCGGAUACUACCGGCUAAACAAUCCUAGCUUUCCCAAGCUAGUCAUUCAUUUUUGGGCACAGACAAGUCUUACACACACUCCAUUUUAAGGUACAGAUCAACCUCUCCAAGUUUUAGCUCAACCGAAACUUGUCCCACAAAUACAAUGAAAUACAAUGUAACAAUAAUCAAUAUACAAUAAAUACAAUCAAAGCUCAUUAGUAAGUAGAAAUAAACUAAUUAAAGCCCUUUUGAAAUGACGAGAGAAGGCUUUUGAUGUCCACUUCAAUGGGAAUGCUCAAUGAUUGCUCUUGAAGAGGUUGGUCAAGUUGGAUUGAAUGCUUCUCAUUCCGUUAAUGCUUUUUUUUCCUCUGAAUGCUAUCCCCCCUGAUUCUCCUUAAUUCAUCUUGAUUUCUCUUUUUAAUUACUGCUUGUUUUCUACCUUUUCGAGGUCUAUUUAUGGAGAGAAGCUCCUGGAGAGCAAUUACUAGCUGCUGAACUCCAUUAGAGAAAGGUUAGAAAUCAUUUCAUGUGCUUCAUUCUCGUUGAAAAACUAGCUGUUAUAGUUUGCCAAUGUAGAGCGGUUGACCUUGGGGUUGACACUUCGUCUAGGGGUCGACUAGGUUGAUGUUCGUCCGUUCCUGUUUACUUAAAAAUACGCUAAACAGAUUGUUGUUAGAACCGACAAACAAAGUUUAAUUUAAUUAUACUCUUAUCUUUUCUACUCGAAGAAUAGUGGUCGUAAGAGGUCGAUCCACAGGAAGGCGAUUGGAGUUGCAUAAAAAUUAGAACGUUCACUCGGAUUCAAAGCCAAUUUUUGAAUAAUAAAAGAAAAAUAUUACGUCGGGGAUGUUGAAUGUUUUCUAAUUGAAACUAACUAAAAGACAGGUACUUAGAUUUGAAAAGCAUUUAUUUAGUUAAUCAAAGAAGAGCUUUGGCAUAAAUUAAAAUAGACGACACUAAGAAGAUUGAAGCCUGAAACAUCAAUUUCAUAAAAGAAAAUUAAAUAUAUUGCAUCAAAGAAAAAUUAAAAGAUUGCAUAAUUUGAAGAACGAAAAUUAAUUACAACAGAAAUUACAACUUUAGCAUAAAUAAAACUCUCUAUUAAAAUAAAACUAAAAACCCCAAAACACAUACUCUCAAAAUAAAACUCUUAAUAAAACAAAAAAAAAUAAAAUAAAAAAAACAAACAAACAACGUGCUCUGUUUGAAAACAGAGCACGAACUCCUCUUCCUUUUCCCCAAAACAGAGCUCCACCUCCCUCCUCCUUGGACCAGCCGGCCACCACCCCCCCUCCCGAGCUCUCCUCUUCCCUCCUCUUAUAGUUGUGAGGUGCUGAAAUUAGGGGAGGAAUCACGGACGACCGAUUGCAGAUGCGGAAGAGGGAACAUCCGGGGUGCGUGAUCGAUGGGAUUGGGUCUCCGGAAGCUGGCCGCGGGAUGAGAGGCUGAGGCGGAAAGAAAUGGAUGUUUGGAAUGCUGGGAUCACGCCUUGCAAUCCGAUGGGAGAAGCUUGAUUGCAGCGUGGGAUGCCGUGGAAGAUGGAUACGGACGAGGCUUGCCGACGGAAGGAGAUAGCUGCGGGAUCACGGGCUGGAGCGCUGAUCAUGGGAGCAAGAAGAGGGCGGAUGGGCGCGGGAUCCUUUCUUCUCCCCUAUUUCCGCACGGGAUGAAGCUGUGAGAUGGGAGGGAUCGCGAAGGAGGAAGAGGGCAGACGGGCUCUUGGGCUGCUGGGAUUCGGAUCGCGGAAGAAUCAUGGGCGGAAGGAGCUGGAUUACCGGCUGCUGGGACGCUGGGAGGAGCCGACCACGGCCGCGGUGGAGACUGGGAUCACGGAAAGGAUUGGCUGAAGAUCAUGGUUUGGAUGCGGCUGGAGGAGAAACGGACGUGUGAUCCUCUCUUCUCCCCUGUUUCCGCACGGGCUGGGAUUUGAUCUGGAAGAUGGACGGCCUGGCACGGUGGUUGUUGAUGGUUGGGUGUGUUCUCAACGGAUGGAGAUGAACCUGAUGAAACAGGUUUGGGAAGUGGGAUGCUUGGUUUGAUUGCGUUGAUGGCGUGGACGGCCGGGAUUUCAUGCAUGCAUGGCAGCUGGGGAAUUUGUUGAGCUCGGGCUGCCGGGCAUUGGGCUCAAACCCAAUGUUAUUGGGUCUCUUGGAUUCCUUGCACUCAAACACAAAUACAACGUUAAUUAAUUAAUUUUAUUAUUAAAGAUUAACUAUAAUACUAAUUAAAAUGGUACGACGAUUGCACUUUUGUGCUCUCAUCAGUU